UAUCCUGAUCUCUCACUAAGACAAAAGGUAGCCCUUUGAACUUUUGCAGUUAAAUUUUGUUGUUCUUUCUCCCUCCCUCCCUUAAGACAAGCUUCCUCCCUCCCUCCCUUAAGACAUGCUUCCUCAGUGAAGAAGGCUUUACUACUUGUCUGAGCAAGAUUUAGAAUAUCUGCCACGUUAUGCAAAACAUACUAAAAAUUAGUAAUCCGAUAAACUACUUCUAUGACCUGUUCUGACUGAGACUAACAUACUUGCACUUUACUACUCCCAAAAUGCUGAUCCAGGGUAUAAUGUACUCCAGGAAAUGUAGGAUCUUACAGUUAUUACUUAAUAGAUACUGCUCCCAUGGAGUUGUCCUAGGAAACUCAUGUUAUUCCAUUACCCAUUCAAGUCAUAGUGCCUUUGUCUACAUUUUCUUUUGGCCUCAUUAAGACACAAUUGAUACCCAGGCUUCACGAUCGACUUGCUUCUUCACUGAUGAAUUCACAUUUACUUUAUUAACAUGCAUUAUUCUAUUCAGCUCCUCAGUGCUCGGAAUAUGGCCGAAAGAACUAUCAUAGGGCAGGACAAAAUUGUUUAUAGCUCUGGCAAGGAUUUGGUUGAGCAAGAGUUUGGUGGGGGGUUUCAGCAUAUAGAUAAGUCAGAUAAAAGAAAGUCUACUAUUACUUGGUAAGAUCUCAGUUCUCUUGUCUAAUGCACUGUGUUUUCAUUCUAAAAUUGUCUAAAGCAAAUGCUUACUUGGUUCAGGAUUUAAGAGCUUACGGAUUUAUGACUCAAGGAUCAAAUUAUUUGUAGUUUUUUUUUUUUUUUUUUUNNNNNNNNNNNNNNNNNNNNNNNNNNNNNNNNNNNNNNNNNNNNNNNNNNNNNNNNNNNNNNNNNNNNNNNNNNNNNNNNNNNNNNNNNNNNNNNNNNNNNNNNNNNNNNNNNNNNNNNNNNNNNNNNNNNNNNNNNNNNNNNNNNNNNNNNNNNNNNNNNNNNNNNNNNNNNNNNNNNNNNNNNNNNNNNNNNNNNNNNNNNNNNNNNNNNNNNNNNNNNNNNNNNNNNNNNNNNNNUGGUGGGGUUUCGAGCAUAUAGAUAAGUCAGAUAAAGAAAGUCUACUAUUACUUGGUAAGAUCUCAGUUCUCUUGUCUAAUGCACUGUGUUUUCAUUCUAAAAAUUGUCUAAAGCAAAUGCUUACUUGGUUCAGGAUUUAAGAGCUUACGGUAUUUAUGACUCAAGGAUACAAAUUAUUUGUUUUUUUUUUUUUUUUCGACUUACUGAUAGUGGACUAUUUCACUUGUUUUUGUUUCAGUGACUGAAGCUGUUAAACACUAAAUGUUAAACACGUUAGUGUUUAACGAUCUGGCUGCGAAACCUUUACACUGGAAGUCUUCUUUUGCAAGCCGUUGAUGCACCCUUGGUGGUUGGUACCUGCUUUUGUUCAUAAGCGUACUUCUUUUCUGGGGUUAAUUGUAUCUGGGAAAUGAUACCUUGUAAUAGAUUUUAGGUAGACAAGUUAUCUAUUUACAAAGACUUAAAAAAUUUUAAGCAUCGCAGCUUGCUCAUGUCUAUGUUUUGUGGUGCUGCACUGCCAAAUCAGUCCAGGUAACAAUUGACCCAAAUGUCUCAACUUCUUCAAGUCCAGACACGUUUUGCUCGACUAAAACACACACUCCCUACAGUUAAAGGGCCAAACUGGAACUUUUGGGACCUCAAAGACCAAUACUACUGCAACACAUACCCACCUUGCUUGAGCUACAAGGGUGAAGAAACUUAUCACCUACAGUGAUUUGUUGUUCAUAUCGGAAUAUCGGAACAAAGUAGGUGAUUGAAAUGAAUCUAACUAUAGUGUUCUUGAUGAAAUUUUUCUACCAUAUGGCUGUGAUCGGUGUUAUAGAUCCAUAAAUCUUCACCUAGGUUGGCAUGGAUUAUAUAUCUAAAGGAGGUUCCUAGCCAGCUGUUCAGGUUUUCAUCUCCAGCCUUUGGAAAAUGGAAAGCACCUUGUGACUGUCUGGAAAGUUGGCAGUGCAUCUCCAUAACCAACUGUGGAGCUUCUUCCCAGAACCGUUCGAGUCGCAAGAUGAGAGAGUAUGAAGGUGAAAGGGUUUGAAAUACAAACCGACUGAAAGGGUGUCAAUGGUCAAAGUUUUUUCUCUUUGAUUUGGUCAAUAUUCAAAGCUUGAAGAUCUGAUUCCUGAAUCAAAGAUAUAGGGGCUUCAGAAGUUCAGAGCAUUCUGUGAUUUCCGUCUGGCAAUGAUGUGAAGCCGUGGCCGGAGAACAUAUUCUCCGGCGAUGGCAGAGAGAUAAGUGAGGUUUUCUGACCCCAACUUCGAAUUUAUACUUAAAAGCAUGAACUGUCAGUUUUGCCCCUUAUAUAUUCCGAAGAUAAAAGCCCACACCAGAGGCCCACAUUGUAGGUCCAGCUGUCUAUAUAUAUAUGCCUUGGUUUUCAAGGAGACGAUGACCUAGCUUCCUUAAAACUUUCUGCUUGUAUAUGCAAAACCCUAACCUUUCUUCCCCCAAAAUAUAUGUCAGAAAAAAUAUUGAUCGUGCUCCAUCUUCUGGUAUCUUAUAUAGUUGAAUGCUUUUCUCAUCUUAGUCGAUACCUCAGAUCCAAGAAACCCACUAAUUAUCAGAAGAAGAAGAAGAAGAUGGAUCAGUCGGACAAAUUAAGCAACUUACCAACCGGUGUUACACAGAAAAUCUUGUCAUACUUACCUAUCGACCAGGCAGUGAGGACAAGUAUUUUAUCUAGUGAGUGGAGGUCGACAUGGUCUCGGCUUCCAUAUCUGGUGUUUGAUGAUCAAAGUGGAUAUGAUAUCAAAAAAGUUGUUAAUCAUGUGCUGUUACUUCAUCGUGGCGGCAUAGAGACUUUUAAGCUUUCUAAUCUUGAUGGUUCCGCUGAUAGUGAAAAUAUUGAUAAAUGGAUUGCUUAUCUAUCAAGAGAAAGGAUCAAAGAGUUCGUACUGGAACAUACCAAAUGGGAUCCCUAUAAUGUCUUUUCCUGCAUCUUUUUAUAUAAAGGUUUGACUCGUUUAGAGUUGCACAAUUGUUUGUUGAAUCCUCCGGCGACGUUCAAAGGCUUCCGGAUGUUGAAGAGACUUCAUCUUAAGCACGUUGAUGUGUCCGGAGAUGUGUUGGGAAGACUAAUUGCUUGCUGUCCUCAGCUUGAGAGAGUUAUUCUAUGUGACUUGAAGGGUAUAGCUGAUGUUACUAUUUGUGCACCAAGCAUACAGUUCCUUAAAGUUCAAGGCAGUUUUGAGGAUGUUGUACUAGAGAAGACCUUUAAUCUUGUUGAUGUUUCAAUUGACUGGAAACAAGGUUCCACAAUCUGUUCUGGCAAAUUGCUCAGGCAUAUUUUGCAGCUGCCUCGUAUUGAAAGACUCACACUGCAGCGUAGCUUUCUAGAGGUAAUGGAUUUUCCUAUUUUUCUUUGAUGAUUGUACUUAACUAGCUCAUUAUUUAUAUGCUUGUUUUAUGAAUCAUUAUUCAUAUUCUUGUUUUAUGUAUCCUCUUUGCUGUAGUGUGCUGUUGGUUCCUUGACCAAGAAGCUACCUAAAUCAUGUCUGUCUCUGAAGUUUCUUUCGAUAAGCAUACGCUUGGAUAAUUCGGAGGAGAUUUUAACUGCCAUGCACCUUAUGAGAAGCGCACCUGCUCUAGAAGAACUAGACAUUGUGGUGAGAAUCAUGCAACUGCGCUAUGCGUACUAAUCAAAUUUCUGUACUUUUAAAGUUUGAGAUUAAUCUAAUGCCAUUGACAAACCUUUGUUACUUUGUGUAGUUUCGAAAAGGAAAGGUGACUAAUGAUGGAGAAUCAACCUAUUGUUUAAGUGAUGACAAACAGAAUUGGGAAUUCACCCAACUGCAACGAGUGAAAGUAAUCUGCUUCUCUGGUAUCAAAGCAGAAGUAGACUUCAUCAAAUUUCUGUUAUUAACCUCACCUGGUCUUCAAGAACUAGAAAUUUCGGUAAUUUUCAUUCUAGUGCCGUAUGCAGUAUCUGUUGAAGUUAAUCAAAAUAAAACAAACUCGAUCAACUGUAACGUACUGUAGUUUAUACAAAUGAACUGGUUAAUAAAUUUUAGAUUCUGAAUUUCUGAUGUUAUUGACAUUGUUUUUGUAGUUUGGCCAAGAUAUGAAAGGAGUGGACUUUUCUUGGUUAGAUGACAACCAGAAGAAUUCUGCAUUCACUCAAGUACGAGUUGUGAAAGUUACUCGCCUCUCUGGUGUCAAAGCCGAAGUAGAUUUCAUCAGAUUUCUGCUCUCAAAUACUUCACAAAGGCUUGAGAGAGUGAUUCUACAACCUUCUUCUACCGAAGUUUCUUGGGAAUUAUUUAAGUUAUUGCUGGCGUUCAAACGCGAUACAUUACAUGCAGAUUUUAAGUUCUUGGACCCAUCAAGUCCUGUCACUCCUGUGCAGGAUUCUGACGACUCGUCUUCUGACCACAACUUUGAUGCUGCCUCAUCUUCUGACUCCGACUUUGAUGAUGAUGAUGAUGAUGAAUUGUUAUGAACCAUUGGUGAUUGCUACUGAGCAUUUUUGUUUUGGUACAUAUAUGGUAGGACUUCAUAUUUUUGAGAAAUUAUGAAGACCUAAAAUGACUAAAAUAUGAAGACCUACCAUAUAUCUUUUUUUUAAUCAGUUUCAUACCUAAAACCAAUUUUGACCAUUUUUGUGCAUUAGAAAAUGGUCAAAAUUGGUGCUCCAUCAUGGCAAAUAGCUAGUAAUGUUUUAUUUCGUAGCUGAUGAUUUAGUUUGGCCGGAUACUUACGUACGUACAUAUAUUAUUGUCUGAUCAUGGCUUCAUAUUGAUUGAACCCAUGUAUUAGGACUGAAAACUUUAUGCAAGUCCUGGAUCUCGUACAGUUUAUCAAAGUGGAGCUAGCUAGCUCCGCAGCCAAUUUUUUUUCGUUCAGUGUUUCACUUUGUGUUCAGAAAUUUUGUAAUGUUUUUCUCAAACUACCGGUAGAGAACUAUUUAACAUCUAUUUUCUCAGUGACUGAAGCUGUUAAAGACACAAGUUUUUAACGACUGGCUGCGAAACCUUUACACUGGUGGUUGGUACCGGGAUUUGUUCGAAAGAUAGCAUACUUCUGUUAUGGGGGUGCAGCUGGGAAAUGAUAGUUUGUAACAUAGAUUUUAGGUAGAUAUACUUUUAAGCUUCGCAGCUGGCUCUUGUAUAUAUAUGUUUUGUGGUGCUUCAGUUCUGCUAAUAUUGAAAGCUUUUGGAAGCUCAGAGACUAACAUGCAAAUAUAUAUGACAAAGUAGAUGAACUGAAAUAAAUCUAAGAUCAGCAACAAACAAAUAACUGAAUGAGUGAAAGAACACCGAGUCCCCAAUCUUCACCAUAAUCAAGUGUGGUGUUCUUGAUGAAAAUUAUCCAUUUGGAUGUAAUGUUAUAGAUCCAUAAAUCUUCUCCUCGGGUCUUGGCAUGGGAUCGAUUAUCUGACAUGCAGUUCUUGGGUUACGACGUAGAUGGGUCACUUUCACUGAACUGGUGACAUGGUCAGUUGGUGAUGCUUCUCUCCCCAUGGCGGUGUAGCUUCUUUUGAAGAGUGCUCCUUGUGGCUCAGGCCACUGAAGCUCAGUGGUUUAACUUGAUAUCCUAGCUUAAUUAACAAGAAAAUAGUUGUGGUGCUGUAUAAAAGGGAAAGGGAAGCACAUAGUAAUGGUGGUGGAUAUAUAAGAGAUCGAGACAUAAGGGAAUUCGAAGUUUAUACAGAAGAGAAAGGGUGUGGAGUUUGAACGUAUAACAGACAGAAGGGUGGAGAUUUAUAUAGGGCAUUAUUUUCAGCAGUUUCUUCUCUUUGAUUUGUUCAACGUUCAAAGCUUGAAGAUUUGAUUACUGAAAUCAAAGAUCGAGUCUGGUCUGCAACAUGGGUUGAUCAUAUAUGGGAGGAACGGCCAAUUAAUAUAAGCCUAAACUUUGAACUUUUUUUUCACUGUGAAAUUGUCCGACCGCUUUAGUAACUUAUCGUCGUAUCGAACUCACGAUCUCUCACUUAAAGAGAGAUUUAUGUCCACCGAACCAAACGGUAAUUGACAUAUUCAGUGAGAGCUUUGCCUUUUAAGUUUUAACCUUUCAUAUAAUGUUUUAAAUUUUUAAACUAUGAUUAGAGCGAUGGACAUGCAUUGAACAAAAUCACACACGCAAGACUAUCGAAACAAGAAAAAAAAGAGUUUCUCCCGAUAAAGCCCGGUCUACAGGCCCAAGUUGUAGGCCUAGCGCGCUGUUAAUAUGCAGACGAGGACAUUCCAGGUCUAGGAACCCUAAUCAUUCCCCAAACAUCUUAGCAAGAAUAUCGAUCGUCUUCCAUCUACUUAAAUCUAGUAAGCUUUGUUUUAAUUUCUGGAGAAUUAUGUUUUUUUUUUCUUUUUUAUUAAAUGUGAAUGUGUAAACCUGCUCGUCGAAGUUCUCUCUUCCAAUUAAUUAAGUGCUUGAUUCUCUUCACAAGUUAACUAAUUUUGUUGGAUCUUGAUACUGAAGGACAAGAAGUUUCGAUCAUGCAUGUUUUAUAUAGUUGAAUGCUUUUUUCUUCUUAAUUAGUUGAUUCCUCAAAUACAAGAAAACCCCCAAUUCAAUCCCUCUUUGAUAGAGAAGAAGAAGAAGAUGGAUCAGUCGGACAGAUUAAGCAACUUACCAAGUGGUGUUGCACAGAAAAUAUUGUCAUACCUACCUAUCAAUCAGGCAGUGAGGACAAGUAUUUUAUCGAGUGACUGGAGGUACAAAUGGCGUCGGCUUCCAUGUCUUGUGUUUCAUAGUGUAAGGGGAUAUCGAAUCGACAAAGCUGUUGAUCAUGUGCUGUUACUUCAUGAUGGCAGAAUUGAGACUUUCAGUCUUUCUAAUUUUAACAAUAUAAUAGAAUGUGAUAUUGAUAAAUGGAUUGCAUAUCUAUCAAGAAAAAAUGUCAAGGAGUUCGUACUGAAAAAAUUGGAGUAUCAGUCUCCCUACAAGCUCUUUUCCUGCUUUUUUUCUUUAAAAGAUUUGACUCAUUUAGAGUUACACAAUUGUCUGUUGAAUCCGACGAUGACGUUCAAAGUCUUCCGGAUGUUGAAGAGCCUUCAUCUUCAGCAGGUUGAUGUGUCCGGAGAUGUGUUGGGAAGACUAAUUGCUUGCUGUCCUCAGCUUGAGAGAAUGAUUCUAUGUGACUUGAAGGGUAUAGCUGAUGUGUUACUAUUUGUGCACCAAGCAUUCAGUUCCUUAAAGUUCAAGGCAGUUUUGAGGAUGUUGUACUAGAGAAUACCUUUAAUCUUGUUGAUGUUUCAAUUGACUGGAAACAAGGUUCUACAAUCAGUUCUGGCAAAUUGCUCAGAUAUAUUUUGAAACUGCCUCGUAUUGAAAGACUCACACUUGAGCAUAGCUUAUUUGAGGUAAUGGAUUUCCUUGUUUUUUUCUUUUUAAUGAUUGUAUUUAAACUCAUUAUUGAUAUUCUUGUUUUAUGAAUCAUUAUUCAGUCUUGUUUAAUACAUGUAUCCUCUUUUCUCUAGUCUGCUGUUGGUUCCUUGACCAAGAAGCUGCCUAUACCAUGUCUGUGUCUGAACUUUCUUUCUAUAAGCAUACGCUUAAAUAAUUCGGAGAUUUUAGCUGCUAUGCAACUUAUGAGAAGCGCACCUGCUUUACAAGAACUAGGCAUUUUGGUGAGUUAUUUGAAUCCUGCAAGUACAUUUGGUCCUUGACCAAAUUAAAAUUUUCAACCUCCUUUCAAGAGUUUGAGAUUAAUCUGAUGCAACAGGCUACCUCUGUUACUUUGUGUAGGUUCGGAAAGGAGAACAGACUAAUGAUGGAGAAGCAACCUACUGUUUAAGGGACAAACAGAAUUGGGAAUUCACUCAACUGCGACGAGUGAAAGUAACGGGCUUCUAUGGUGUAAAAGCAGAAGUAGACUUCAUCAAGUUUCUGUUACUAACCUCACCUGCUCUUCAAGAACUAGAAAUUUCAGUAAGUUAUUGUUCUAGUGGAGUAAGCAGUAUCAGCUCUAACAUAUUGUAGUGUAAACAAGGGUUAAGAAAUUUUAAUUUCUGAUGUUACUUACUUGUAUGUGUAGUUUGGUCAAGAUGUGGAGGAAGGAAUGGACAUUUCUUGGUUAGAUGAAGACCAGAAGACUAGCGUACUCGCCAAACUGCAAGUUGUGAAAGUAGCUCUCUUCUCUGGUGCCAAAGCCGAAGUAGAUUUCAUCAGAUUUCUGCUCUCAAGUACUUCACAAAUGCUUGAGAGAGUGAUUCUCCAACCUGCUUCUGAAAAAAUUUCUUGGGAAGUAUUUAAGUUAUUCCCGGCGUUCAAACGGGAUUCAUUACAUGCAGAUUUGAAGUUCUUGGACCCAUCAAGUCCUGUUCAGUAUCAUUAUGAAUCCGACUCUUCUGAUGAUAUGGAUUUCUGAUGAAUAAUGGCUGAUUGCUACUGAAGAUUCUUGUUUUGGUACAAGUGUUCAUAUAUAUUUUUGAGAUAUUUGCUACUAAUACAGAUUAUUAAGUUACGCCUCACUCAAGUUUCUCGGAAUUCUCCAGCAGCCAUUUCGUAUUAGUACGUUGUUAAUGCGUGUCAUAUUGAAGACUCUAUUUGGCAUUUGCUUCUGGAGGGAGUAAGCCGCAAACUUGAAGUGAUCCCAGUCCGUCAUGCCUGGAAGGUGUUGUAGAGAGGCAGACCAAAAUGCAACAUUUGAGUUCAUUUUGAUGUUUUUUCUUGUUUGAGAAGAUUUUGAUGUUUCCAGGGGUGAAGUUUUCAGAAUUACGCAUGUGUUCUUAUUCAUGAAUAUGGUCAUUACUUGGACCAAAAGAACAUGAAACUUCCCUAUUCGAUCUCUUUUGAUAUGUGUUCAAAAGGACAACAGAACUUCAACAUUAACAUUUCGUAAGCAUUUUAGGAAAGUUACACAAAUCAUCAGGAACACCGAACUUAUUUGUGCAGAAAAGUAAUUGUCGACAAUAUUCGUCAACAAUCAAGUUCAUUGCAACGCUGCUCUGUUAAUGUGGUAGAAUCGCAGCACACCAUGUCACCAUAGUCUCUGAUCACUAACAAAGCAGCCAAAAAACAUAAUUAUUAUUUGACCAAGACAGACAAUUUUUUUUUGAACGCGACUUCGGUGACAAAGGCCGGUCAUCUUAAGGUGACUACAGCCAAUAAACAUGGGACACGUGUCCAUUUUAAAAGACUUGGCUGCAAUUUAAGAACAUAACAGGGGGUUUUGAGUAUUUAGAAUGUUUGUUUAUAAUUAUUGUUUAUAAUUAUUUUUUUUGAAAUAACUUGAGUUACCAACUAUGGUCACUUAUAGGUGACAAACAGAAAUGAGAGAUGAUGGACAAAUGCCAACAACAAUCAUAAAUAAACAUGUCAAAUACCAAAAACCUCCAUGUUAUGUCCUUAAAUUACAGCCAAGCCUUUUAAAAUGAACAUAUGUCCCAUGUUCAUUGGCUAUACUCACCUUAACUCUUGUUACCGAAGUCGGGUUUUUUUAUUUUUCCAUCAAAAUAUCAUUUUCUAUUUUACUCUUUAUCCAAACAAAAAUUAUCCAAUGAUCAUUUCAAUAUGGAUGAGGGGCAAGACCGUAAAAUCAGCCGCAUCAUCAAAGUCUUGGGGUGUUAACCCAAAGCUCUAAUUCUAAGCCACUCACAGAGCUCUCUGUGUUUCUCUCAUGGCCAGAAAUACUUAGAUACACAGAAACCCAAUACCCACUCCAACUUCCCAACCUCUCACUCUCCUCCUCCCAUGGCUUCCAUAGCCACCUGCUUCACUCUCCCUCCAAAACCUCACCUUCGCCUCAUUUCAAAACCCUCCCUCUUCCCCAACCGCCCCCCUCUCACUCGACGCCUCAUUCUUCCUGGAUUUCCUCCCAAGCUUCGAGAAUCUAGGGUUUCGGUGACCGUCGUUCGAGCCAGCCUCGACGCCGUUACCGGGAUUAGGCCCGGCGGAGCCGUCGAGAGCGAUAAGCUGCCGUCCGAUGUCAGGAAGCGCACCAUGGACGCCGUGGACGCGUGCGGCGGGAGAGUGACGAUUGGUGACGUGUCGAGCAGGGCUGGGCUGAAGGUCAAUGAGGCUCAGAAGGCUUUACAGGCUCUCGCUGCUGACACUGAGGGCUUCUUGGAGGUACUUGUUUUCAAAAAAUUAAUAUCUGUAGGUUAGAGCUUUUUUCAGCGAAUGUGUUAGGAAUGUGUAGGUUUGUUUAGUGAGUUGAAAUUCUAUUUUUCAAGAUGGUCUCAACAGGUCUCGGAUGAAGGCGAUGUGCUCUAUGUUUUCCCCAAGGAUUAUCGAGCCAAGCUUCUCGGCAAGUCGUUUCGGAUGAAGGUUGAGCCUAUUCUGGAGAAGGCUAAGGUAGUUUUCCUUUGUGGAAUUCGAUUAUGUUUUCGUUGCGAUGUGAUUUGUUUUUGGAAAUUGGCACUGAUAUGCUGCUUUUUGAUAGGCCGGGACCGAGUACGUAGCCAGGGUUUCGUUUGGGACUGCCUUGAUUGCCUCCAUUGUUCUUGUUUAUACUGCAAUUAUUGUUGCUAUCUCGUCUAGUAGGAGGUAAGAUUUAGGAUACGGCUGGUGUUUUUGUUGUUAAGCUCUUUUGUAGUACUGGCUGGAAGGUUGAUUGUAAUGAUUUGGUUACAGUGAGGAUGACAAUCGUGGACGACGUGGAAGAUCAUAUGACUCAGGGUUCACCUUUUACAUGAAUCCUUUUGACCUCUUUUGGUAAUACCAUCUAUGUCUGUUUCUUAAGUAAGCUUUUCGUAAUAUUUUGGUGAGGUUUCUGGUUGAGGUAUGCUAUUGCUGGAAGAGAUUUUUACUAAUACCUCAUUUAUUAUUUAUUUUGCUAAGGUUCUGGGAUCCAUAUUACUAUCGGCGUCGGAGAGUGCAAACCGAGGAUAACAAGCUGAAGUUCGUUGAAUCUGUAUGUGAUUGGCACAGUCAUAAUAUUCUUUUUGGCUCUUUCUGGAGUUUUCAUUCUCUGAAAAUAUUGACUCUGAAUACUGUUUUUCAGAUUUUCUCAUUUGUAUUUGGCGAUGGUGAUCCAAAUCAAGGAAUUGAAGAAGAGAGAUGGAAGUUGGUAAUAAUCGAGCACUGAGUUCAGUGGUUCGUUGCUUUCAACAAUUUAUUUCAAAUCAUUGGUUUUAUCUGUGCUUACUAUGCUAUUAGAUUUCUCUUUCAUUAGAGUUUGCAUUAGUUUCAGGAUCACUCACUUCCUCUUCUCAAGCUAUAUCCUAUAUUUAGAGACAACCUGACCAUCUGCAAAGACUUAUAGACGGGAAGUUGAGAUAAAAUAUAAUGUUCCAAUAUAGAUGCUUAUGUCAGUUAAUACUUCGAAGGAGUCUAUAAAAGGUGUUUGCAAAUUUAUUCUAGACUCUUGGCAUUCCUACUUAUCAUUAUUUUCCAUAUUAUAACUAGUUGGGAAAACACUUCUAGCUCCAAAUAUUUGGCACUCCCAAUCUGAAAAUUAGGGAAUUGUGCUUUGAAGCUAAUUAAUUGGAAUUAUUUAUUAUCUGAAUUGGAGAGAAAGGGGUGAAGAUAAUGCACAUGUUGAUAUUUAUGGAAGCUUUGUUUUAUCACAAUAAAAAUGGUAUCAACACUAUUCGAAUAUUUGCCGUAUUAGAACUAGUUGGAAAAACCAUCAGACGCCUGCUGACCUAAGGCACCAUAACCUUAAGUAGUUUUAUACUUCUGUUGUUUCGCUAAAACUGUAAAUGAAUCAUAUGUAUUGACUAGUUUUUUAUGUUUAACUGUGAUAAAUUUUUAUAACUUUUUAAUGGAAGAAUUCAAAAUCUUUUUCAUGCUAUUCGGAAGGAUUUAUCUUUCUUAGACCAAGAGGGUUUACUGGAACCCUAUAGCCUUUAGAAUAAUAUGAUGUGUAUCUAAAAUGAAAUGACACAAUUGUCUAUGGAACUGUAUGUGCAGAUUGGGCAAUACAUAACCUCCAAUGGUGGUGUUGUUGCAGCUGAAGAACUUGCUCCAUAUCUUGAUUUGGAAGGGGGAUCUAUGGUAAGCAUUUUUUGCCCUCUAAUUAGUACUAAAUGGGCAUUAUCUCUUUUUUUUAUCUUGUAUUUAUUUUACAUCAAACUGAGAUUGCAUAAUCUGUUUAAUUAUUAAUAGUCCGUCUCCAUUAGUAUGUUAAUUGAACACUGCUAGCUUGAAAAGCCUGGUCAACGUUUGCAUACUUGGGGAAUUCCUGCAUGCACUAUCGUUUCUUGAUGCUCUAGUUCAAUUAUUAUUAUUAUUUUUUAUGGGAAAUUGUGGUGUGGAAGUCAACUUAAAUUUGCAAAAUUUAUCAGAAAACGCUGGAAGUUUUCGUAUUUGUUACUUUAGGUAGUCAUUAUCUUUUCUUUUCUUUUCUUUUUUUCAAGGGAAAAGAGAAUAAGUAGAAAGAAACACCCUCCAAACUUAAGUUGAAGUUUGGAGAUACAUCUCUGUUGUUUGACUUCAUGUCAGCAUUUCAAUCAGUUUAAACAUUUAUGGACUUGUAUAUCUUAAGCUUGUGUUUGUUUCCCUUCUUUCACCAUAUCCGAAGUUUUCCUUUUUCUUACAUGGCAUGAUUGACAAUUGCAUUUUCUGCUGAUUUCAGGAUGAUGAAACAUACAUCUUACCUGUUCUUUUACGGUAUGAGGGCCAGCCUGUAAUAGAUGAAGAGGUAUGUUUAAAUUUUUCUAGUUUAAAGCAAUGCUUUUAUUUUCUUUAUGCAGAAAGAAAGAAAGAAACAAAUUGCCUCCUAUUAUGCAGGGAAACAUUCUCUACCAAUUUCCCUCUCUACAGCGUACGGCGUCUUCUCAAAGAAGUGGAAGGAAAGAAUAUGUAGGGAGAAGAUGGGCUGAUUUUGUUGGUGGAGUUGAUAAAUUUUUUACUGAGAAAAAAUGGGAAUUCAGGUCCUUUUUUAUUAUUAUUUAGUUUUCCAAUUGUAUCGUGAGUUUCACUUGGAUGUUGAAAUUUAAAAGAAUUAUUUUUUGCAGUAACACUAGCAUUUCUGAGAGAGCACUAGUUGCGGGACUUGGUGGACUUAAUUUAUUUGGGGUUAUCAUUCUUGGAGCCAUCUUAAAGUAUGUUGGAUUUUGAACUUUGUCACUGCUUAGUUGUUUUUGUAUAUAUAUUGUUCUGAUGGCCCCAUUUUCACUUCUCAUAUGAAGGGAUAGUGCAGUUGCACCAGUUGGUUUUAUUAAGUUCAUUAGCAGCAUAUUUCCAUUACUUCAGGUAUGAUUGGACUUCAAUUAAAACAAAUUUCAUUCUUUUGGUGCAGUAUGUAUAUUGUCUUGUUAGAUAGUUUUCGUUGAAACAAUAUUACCGCUGCGUAUUUCCCAUAAAUUUUCUAUCAUAUUCUGGUUUACUAGGGAAUUAGUAUUUUUCUCGAGGAAUAGUCAUUAUGAUCCUGGAAUCUGGAUUCUGAGAUAUUGGCAGAAGGAACUUUCCUGACUGACCACAUUCACAUAAUCUGGCUAAUUUACUUGGGUUGUGGCAUCACUCGCACAUGAGAUGUCUUCUGUUCUGCUUUUGUUGUUUUGCUUUUAUUUAUUGUUUUUCUGCACUAAAGUCUGAUUUCUAGUAUAUCCCAUUUCAUAUUAGUAAUCAACAGAAUACUGGUGACUUGUUUGGUCAGUGUUUAAUUGCCGAAUUAUAUUUGAACUCGUUAAUGUGGAUUAUCUUGUAGUAACAGAUAGGGUUCUUGGUGUGUUAGGUCAUCAAUCUCUUUUUCUGACACUGAGCAUUCUAUCAACGAUCUUUACAUUUUGCAGAUAUAUCUAUAUGUAAAAAAUUUGAUUAUAUCCGCAGCAACUAUUGGGUUUGUAUUAAUUUUUGGGCGCAAUCAAUUUGCAGGUUUAUGCUGGUUCAUUCUUUGCAAUUCCUUUGCUCCGAUGGUUCAUUGUGAGUAAGACAAAUGCUGACAUAGAGAAAAGAAAUCAAGCAAGAUUGAAAUCUGCUCGAGCCCUUGAAUCGCCAGAUAUCUCACUAAGACGAAAGGUAGUACUAGUACUUCUAUAAAGUUUUACAUUCUUUUGGAUGUUGAUUAAGGAUUGCUGUUUAAAAUUCCACAUCUUGCUUUAUAGCUAUUGACAACAUAUUGAAACCUAGUGAAUUUGUUCCUAGUGUUUUUAAACUUAUUUAAAUAGUAUGUUCUACGUAUCUAAUUUCUGUUUCAUAGACAUCCGUAGUAUAAAGUUUUCAUGACUGGCAGCUACACUAAUUUUGUGUCUUACGAAUUUAAAGCUGUAAAAAGAAAAUUAAGCUCCUCCCACUUCACCCCGUAGGAAGACAACCGUUGUAAAAUUUAACUGCCACAUUAUGCACAUACUAUCUAUGCUUAGUUUCAUUUGUUUCUACUUUCUAGCCAUCUGAUAAUGUUUUGCUUAUUAGUUAUUGGGACUGAACCCUAAUAUGAUGGUUGAGAACAGUAUAAUCUAACUGCUCAGAUGAGGUUGUCUUAGGUUAUAAGGUGCUCCUUUGCAGAUAGAGUUAUUUUGUAGCUGACUAAGGGCUAGUUUGGUAUUGCUGUGACUUUAAAAAAAAUCUGAUUCUGCUGUACUGCGAAAAUAAUCAGCUGUGAAUCAAAAUGGUUUUGUGUUUGGUAAUAUUAGUUCUAAAACUGCUGCAAUGUUAAAAAUAUAUUAAUUUCUGUGUUUUUAUGACAGCGGCUUCUAAAAGUAACCUUCAAGAAAGCUGCUGCCUGUGAGCUGUAAUUUUUUAAAAGCUGGUUUUCUUUGAUUUACCAAACACUAUAAAAUCUAAAAGUUCGGAUAGAAGUUGUAUUUUUUAAAAGCGAAGCUAUACCAAACGGGGCUUCUAAAAGUAACCUUGCCUGUGACCUGUAAUUUUUUUAAAAAGCUGGUUUUCUUUGAUUUACCAAACACUAUAAAAUCUAAAAGUUCAGAUAGAAGUUGAUUUUUUUAAAAGCGAAGCUAUACCAAACGGGGCCUAACCUAACUUGAGGUGGUAUCAUGAUUUUUAAUUUGUUAAUUGGAGGCACCCUAUACUUAUAAUUGUGUAGGACAUAUAAUAAAAACUAUUUUCAUUGGCCUGGAAACAAAAACUGGAGUAAAAGGGAACAUAAUUUGGACACUAGAUUAACCAGUUUCUUCACUGAUAAAGCAGCCGACUAAAUUCUUUACGUUGUUAUUCAGCUGCUCAGUGCCCGGGACAUGGCCCAAAGAACAGUCAUAGGACAGGAUAGAAUUGUAUAUAGUACUGACAAGGAUUUGAUUGAGCAAGACUAUGAGGCCCAAGAUUGGGAUAGAAGAUUUCGAGAGAUAGAGAAGUCAGAUUGAGAAGAGGCUGCUGUUACUUGGUAAGUUUUCUUGUGUGAUGGAAUUUGUUAGUUCAUUUGAGUAACCAAAUAUGGGUGUGAUUUUUAUCAGUUGCAUGACUCCUUUUAGGAGUCAUUUUAUGCAGCAGCAAGGUCUAAGCUCUAUCGAUUUUAGUUUCAGCAUAUGGUACAUGUUCUCGCAAGCAUAUCUACAAGUAGCAACAUUAACAUACUGCUUGUCUAAAGAUGAUAAUUACUACAUUCAGGAAAUUGGAAAUGCAUAGAUUAUCAAAUAAUGGAUCUCUUCUUUUGCUCUUUUACUUUACUGAAUACUGAUUAGCUAAUUCAAUUGCAGAGACUAGAGCCAGGAGUUUUCUCCUUAAAGGAAAUGAGAGCUUCACAACUAUUGUUGUAAAACCAUCACACUGGAAGUUGUAUUGGGCAAGCUGUUGAUGCACCCUUGGAGCCUGCAGUUGUUUACAUUCCGAAAUUUGUGGGGGUACAGCCAGGAGUCACACCUUGUAAUAUAGAUUUUAGGUGGACAACAUAACCAUUUACAAAUGUGAACUUGAGCAUCACAGGGUUCAUAUAUAUUUUGGGAGCCCCAUACCCCGAUUAGUUGAAUAUUUUGGGAGCAGUAAGGCUUUAUGUGGCACUAAAUUACAGUAGAGGGCCAAAACUAAGAAAGGUGACUUAGCGUACAUGUCACCAUUAAUAGUGAACUUGUAGAACAUUGAUCGUUAAAAACAAUUGCUGCAUUGUUAUAAAUAGAUGGUUUUGGAGAUCCUUUUGAAAUUGCAUACAAUGACAAUCGGGGUUUCUUGAUUUGCUGCAUUUACCACCGCGGAGGUAUGCAAACGCUGCGUAACAGAAUUAGGUGGACCAUCCAAUUGCAAUAGCCAAUAGAUCAUGAAGUUUGCUCCUGCUGUCUAAUUACAUUUUUCUCAAUACAAGCAGUGCUAUUGCUAUCAGUCUGACUUAAAACUUGAAACAUAAAGAGCAAGCACUCGAAGUAUGUUGCUACAAGGAACCAUAGUUGGACACUGGCCCCAAAUGCCAAAGACAAUUCAACGGUUUCAUAAAAUGGUGGAGACAUGAAAGAAUAUUCAAAUCAAUGAUAUUUACAUAUAUGAAAUGAACUCCUGCCGAUGAGUUCACACUCUCUAAGGAGUGAUGUGCGUAUUUGCAUCUAAACGAGUUACGAGUACAACAAUCGGAUGCUGUAAAACCGUGUCAAUACCAUGAACAAACUCACAAAGAAAGCCCUAGCAUGCACCAGCAUGAUGGUCUAGAGUGUAGACAACCGACAAAUGAAUGUUUUAACCAAGAUGGGUACCUGCAUAAAGAGUAUAUUAAUAACCUGAUCUGGAGCAAAGUAAACAACAUCUUAAAGUGAUGAUCAUGUUAUCUCUCAUGUUCUAUAUAGCACGUCUAAUGUAAGUCAUAACAUGCUAGUUAAAGUAAAAUCUAUCUCUAUCUGAAUUCUUGCUACACAGAGAACUGAUGCCAUCUUAGCAUAACAGAUGCAGUGAUUAUGAAAUGGCCGUAGCAAGAUAAUCAGUUGGUUAUUUAACAAUCAAUUAGUUUUCUUCCAAUAUGACUUAUUGUUCAUUAUAUGAAAUAAUCAUUAUUUGAUACCUAAGGGUAGUUGAUAUAAGAAAAGGAGUACGACCAUGUCCUCACCUAUAAUAAUAAGUCCCAAUACUAUUAUCAAAACCAACAGAAUAGCAUAUCUCUGGACUUGGAUGCGGUAAGGUGAUCUUUGGUAUCUUGCCCUAAUUACACCAAGCCAGCUCUGCAAGUGCAUAAUUUGUGUUCGAAACUGAAGAGGUAGUGCAUUGAAAUAUCUAUACCCAUUGGCUAACCACAUACCCUGAUUACCCUGUCAAAUACAAGCAAACCAAUUAGCAUUUAGGCUGAAGAUUGAUAUGACACACAAGGUUUUCAUUAUAAACUGAUUCAGAACAUCAAGCUGAAUCAGAAAUAAUCAUGCCACAACAUUCCAGUUUUGAACUCUGACGCAGAGAAAAACAAAAACUUGGGUAUUGCCUUCUUAUAAUCUCAACAGUUUACAAAAGAGUAUGGACAUGACAUUGGAAACCUGAGGGGUCUCUUUAUUUUUCAAGGAAGAUAAGUAGAUUCUUGAACACAGAUUUUGAGAGUAAGCAAAAGAGUUGCCUACUAGUAGAAUCAUUUAAUGUGUGAGCCAUGAUCACUUAUACAACUAUGAGUGUACUAUGAGUGUAUAAACUCAUUUGUCUGUGCACCAUUUUCUCUUUCUUUAGUUUUGGAAAGCAGGAACGAUCUACUAUCCAGCACAUCUUUUGAAGUAUUUGUGAGUGCAAACAAGUGUCACACAUAGGCAGUAAGCCUUCCUAGUAGCAAUGAAGAAUAACCAGAAAUAAAAUAGAAGAAUAAAGCAUCACAUUUUGUACUCCAGCUAUCAAAUUAUCUGUUUUUUAGUAUGUCAUACAUCUAUGAAAUUCAUCGCAUGGAGCUUAUCCAAACAGCAUUCCCAUUGGAAAGUAUUUUCAAGGUCCUGCCGGAGAAGCUCCAAAUUUAAGGUUCCAUAAAGUCUUCGGCAAAAAUACUAUUGUAGCACAAACAAUUUUUAAAAUCGUAACCAAAAAUCUCAUUAAAGUCUUUUACAAAUAGAUUUAAAGUUUUUGUUUCCCAUCUCCAGAAGCUAUUGCACAGAGGCCUUGGAGCCAGACAUCCUAUCCUUGUUAGUUUUUUUUUUUUUUUUUUUCCAAGAAAAGUAGAAAACAACAACAUAACAAUUUCUUUUCCAUAAGCAGCCCAAAAUGCUGGCCUGCCAUUCUCCUAACUUAACUAAUCAUAGCUACUUCCAAGACACAAAAAUAAGCAUUUGGCACUACAAGCAAUCUAAUUACCUGGGGGGCAUGAGAUACAUCAGCAGAUGAUGGGGAAUGACUUUGUUCUUCUCCAUCUUUAAAUCUCUUAGUAUAACUCCUAGUGACCCUACUCCCAUAAUUAGUCCAUAUGUUAGUCAAGAACCCAUAUGGAUUAAUUCUGCUCCAGACACCUCUCAACUUGUUCUUGCUUGAGAAGUUUUCUGGUAUUGCUUCAUCAGCCUCCAGAUCCCAACUACCACCUUCACCAUGUCUCUUACAAGAGGUCUCUGUAAAUUCAAAUCCUAACCUCGUAUUAGGAUAAGAACUGACUUUCCUCAAGUUGUUCUCCUUCCUAGAAUUAAUAUUAUUGUCCACAUGCACUACUCCAUUCUCAACUUCUCUGCUUUUCUGUUCAACAAUCCCAGAAGUGCCGUCUUUGGCACUAGAUGACGUGGCUGGAUCAAGAAAUCUUCUCAACAUAUUACUGUCUUCUCCAUCAUAAGAAUCAGAUGUGACAUUUCCCCCAGUAAGAAACAAUGCCAACCCAUCUCUAUCUUGUUCAUUCAAGUUGACCCAUCUUGUAUUUCUCAUUGGAUCCUCGAUUGAUUUGCCCUCCAAGCUCUUCUCCACAUAAGCUAUUUGUUCCCUAAUGGCUCUGAUAAACUGCUUGUGCCUUGAAAUUACAUCCCCGUUUAUCUGGGAUUUGCCUGUCAUAGCUGAAAAGCUGACUGCUCUUUCAAAAUCUUCCAACUGGCAUGACAGAGUCACUGAAACCUAACUAAAUAGAAGACAAAACAAAACAAAACAAAAAGGCUCAAGAAAAAAAGGAGUUGACAUUGACAGAAAUUACCACCUGCCACUUUGCCGUUUCAAGUGUGGUUGCAAGCUCACGCUUAUGAUAAUCUAUCGACGCAUGCAACUUUGGGUCCGGAAAGUCAUCUUGAACAAGACCUAGCUCAUGCAGCAGAAAGCGGAAAAUCGAUUCCAUCCUAAAAUUCACACACCACACACACAAAGAACCUUAGUUCCAGAGAAUGCACAAUCCAUAAGCAGUCCCAUACAAUGUGAAUACCGAUGAACCAGGUUGAACAUGUAAUUUGAUUCGUUAUAUCUAGCAAACAACAUUGUGUAACAGAAGGGUAUAUCUAGCAAUCACUUGUGAAAGACAAUGCAUCUCCCAAAAGCAAAAGCACCCAUUCUCAAAUAACCCAAAGUAAGAAAUUCAGGGAAUCAAAAACUCAUGUACCACCAUUCUUACAAAACUCACUAACCUAGUCUCUAGGAAUGAACAUUCUCAAAAUUAAUUCAUUUAUCGCUCUUUUCUUUUCUGAUUGGGUUUUCAUUUAAAUCAAUGUUCUUUAUGGUUUCCAAAAGCAAGGGAAAAACUUGAACUUGGAUUAAAAUGAAAAGGGAACGAGAAAUAAACCUGUCAGCGGAAUCUUGAACAACUUCAGCGGCUGAAAAGAGAGGGUCUGAUUCCCAUUGGUGCAAACCCGACGCCAUUUUUGAUUGAUUUCUUCUUUACAUUCACCUCCACGAUAGAAAUUUCUAUUGACACAAAAAGCCCAUGAAUUUGAUAUUUGAAACGAUGAAAUGGAGAAAUGGAAUUGGAAAUAGGAGGGUUUAGGUCUAGGGUGGGUGGGUUUAGCCAAUUUCUGCGCAAACGCGUUCGUUAAAAUUAUGUGGAACUGGAACUCAGAUACUUUCUUUCUCUGGAGAAUAGUUUGAUUAAUUUUUCGGGAGUCUCAUAACCUGAAACACCAAUCUCCUUCCACCACGUGGAACAAAUUAUUUUUCUGUUUUACUAUUUUUCUUUUUCUGUUAAUUAUUUGCGCUUUACAAUUACCAUAAAAUUUUAUAUUAUAUCGUGUAUCUCUACAUGUCGUAUACUAAGAAUUAUUCGACUGCACCCUUCAGUUUUCAUGAGAUGAGAUAUAACCUGAGUUAUUGUUUGGUUCAAGAAACAUAAACAUCAUGAGAGGAAAAUUAUUCAUUUUAUGCGGGGUGGUGAAAUAAAAGAAAAUGAAACAUUGUCUUGACUAAACGGAAAUUACGGAAAUUAUGGAGGAGAGUCGAUCCUUUUAAAAUACAAAGGAACUAUUUUCCUCUAUUCUUUCAUUGUGUUACAAAACUUCCAUAAUGGAACGUUUUUAGAGAAUUUCAUUUCCUUGCUCUUCCUAUUCCUAUCCGAAAGACGAAUAAACUACAAUAUUACCUUUUUCAUGAACCAAAUGAGGUCUUAGUUACAGUAAUAUUAACCAUUUUAUCAAGGGAUUUUUUUUUUUUCAUUGGUUAGAUUGAGGAGAAGCAAAAGAAACAUUGGACAUUGAGGCAUGGCAGACGGCUAAUACAUCUCCUUUAGGGAGAAUUUAUGAAGAUCUGUGCUUCAAACUCUCACAGCAGAAUACAUGGAAAAUAAACCAUGUCAGCAGGAAAAGCAAUGCAGCUGUUCUUUGGCUGAUUUAGUGAAGAUACAAAGCAAGAUGAAUUCAAAUGUCCUUGAACAUGGUCAGAAGUUGGAGAAAACGGUCAUAUCUCACUUACCCAGUCAAUAUGAUGAUGUAGUGAAGAUACAAAGCAAGAUGAAUUCAAAUGUCACAAUUCAUUUUCAUCAAGCUGAGCUGAGCUCUAAUCCUUUUGGUGUUAAUCCUUUUGGUUUGGUUGAAUAAUUUCCUUUCGCCAUGGUUUUCUGUCAUAAGUUUAAAUAGUGACAUGCAAUGCUAGAUGCUGGUUGUUCAUCACUUUCUCAUGAAGCCGCUUCAGGCUGUAAUGAAUUUAAGAUGGUUUCUGAUGUCUUUUGCUUUUAGCUGGUAUUAUUGCAACUAUAUUUGAAAUAUGUGAUACAAAUAUAUAAAUUACUAAAGAACAUUGGUUUGAUGGAUUAUGCCAUAGCUAUUGUUUGAUUAUAACAAAUUAACAAUGGAGCUUUCACUUCCAGAACUCUUUCUAAUUUCUGAUUUUCUGUACAUCUAUAGGUCAAAGGAAACUAGAAGAACAUAAACACAUUGAUAUUAUCAGUCAAAUAUCCUCUCUUGGCAACUCAUAUUCUCUUCAUUACAUGUUGAUCUUAUAUAGGGUGAAGAUAUAAGAUCAUCAUUUUUGGCUCUACUCAGAAGUAUAGUCCUAAAACAAACUCUGAAGAUAAAAACACUUCUCAAAUGAAAUACUUCACCAUCUGAAUUUCUUUCUGCUUGUAGCCACAUUUCUCAUAGAAUGCUUUAUUAUCAACACUGCAAUCAAGAAUCACCUUAUAACAGCCCACAGAAUGAGCAUAAUCUGUGAGGGAAUUAAUAAGUUUUUUCCCUAAAUGCAAUCCACGAGCAUUGGAGUCAACCACAACAUCUUCAAUGUGCCCAACUUUACCACAGUUCCUUAUAAACUUCCUUUCAAUGAACACACUCCCAGUUGCAACUAUCUUCCCAGAACGAUCAUCUUCUAUAACAAACACCUGAUGGUCUUCAGCACGAGACUGAAGCUCCAUGAACCGAUCUUCAAAGUCUUUGUCAGAUACAGAGUCGCAAGUGGUUAGCUGUCGCAGUAGUUCUAUAAAGCCCUUGCUUUUAUCUGAGAGCUCUAAUUUUCUAACUUGGAAUUUCUGUUCCUCAUUGCUUGCCAUCUUUUCCAGUCUGAUCACUUGUUACCAACUGAAAAAGAUCCAUUUAAAUCGUAACUCAAACACACGGAACAGAUACUUAUGUAUUAAGCCACAUGAGUGGCAAAAUGACAGUACUACUAAGGCAAUGUUCAUUUGAAGGAACAUUAGAAGUUGAUUGAAGAAACAAAAGAGUGGUGAUUCCUAAGUAAAAAUAUUCAUUCCCCAAAACAAUAGAACUACCAAUCAUAACGCAGUUCCCUCACUAUUGUUUCAUCCCAUGUUCAUUCAAUCUCACAUUACAAUAACAAAUCUGAUGAAAUUGAUAUAGAAUACUCUAAGAACAGUAUAACUCGUUUAAAUGAACCUUCAAAGUAGGUUGAUCAAAAAUGGGUAUUCCUAUGAACCUUCAAAUAGGUCAUCUAACAAUGAAAUGCCCAUUCCAAUUACAAGGUCCAUUGAAAUACAAGGUUAUGAGGAUUUUAGGGUAGAAGCUUGAAUUGGAUUUUGUUAGAUUAUGAUUUAUGAAAAGUAAAAUCAAACAAACCUUUCACUAUUGACAAAAGAAAUAAGUGUAGAAAAUGAACCAAAAUUACCUCAAAAUCCCAACUUGAAGAAUGAGAAUCCAGGAUUGUGAUCUGGGUUUCUGGCCUUGUUUUUAAAUCAGAUCACCAAAGACUGAUAAAGCAGAAGACUUUAUAUAUUUAAAGGAGAAAGCACGUGACUUUUAGAGUUGGGCACGGGCCAAAUACCCGAUUACCGACUUGGCUAGAUUAGAGAGAGCUGUCGACGCAGGACGACGAGAGACGCGAGCUUUGUUUCAAUGGCGUGUUGAGAACUAGAGAUUGAGAUUUUGAGAGGAAUAAGCAGCAGCAGCAUCACCAUGGCUCCGGGGACGUUGAUUCUUCGUCGGCUCACGACGCACUUUGCCAAUCGAAUCAGGCAGAACCAGAGGCUUCUCAGCUCUCAUUUGUAUUCCUCUUCGGCGUUGGAAGAAGCUCCUUCCUCUUCUUCUUCUUCCUCGGCGAACUUGGAUGGCGUUCACAUGACCGACACUUGUAUUCAGGUGCUCUUUCUGUUUCUCUCUAUGUAUCAGAAUUGAUGUAUGUGGCUUUGUGGAUUCUCUUUUUCUUGUAGUGAAUUUGGGUUUUGAGUUGUUAUGGUAAUCAAGUUUAGGGUUUGUGAGAGGGUUGUUGGGCUUGCUUCAUUUUUUUGUGAUAAGAAGAUGAAUUCCAGGAAUCGAGGAGAUAUGAGGAACCACUGUUUUUAUUUUUUCAAGAGCAUAGCUGCAUAACCCUCAAUUCAAUGUAUGCAUAGUUAUAUACUUGUUUUAGAUUUCAAAUUGAUUUAGUUACGCUAGAUUCUACAUAGACCAUCCACUAUUUGGUGUCCUUGGUGAGAGAUUUGAGAUUGUGCAUCCCAGUUCUAUUGGUGUUGUUUCUUGCUUUGUUGCUCUUAAUGAAAUCAUCUGCUUGCCGAAGAGAAACUUCCGUAGAAACCGGACCAUUGAAAUGGUUCAAAGUAAUUAUUUACUGCAGAGAAUCAUUAGUGAGGUAGCAUUAAUCAUUAGUUUUCUGGGACUUUCUAGUGGAUGAAUGAAGAGAUUCACUGAUUUCUUUUGUAAGGCACUAAUGAAGCUUUAUUCUAGAAGUUGACGGGAUUACCAUUUCUGAUCUUUUUGUCAUGAAAUGUUUUAUGGCAAGCCUUGUCAUCAGCGAAUUUUAAUGGAGACUUAAGAUUGUGACCUUUUGGGUUUCUGAUGCUUAUGAGUUUGCAACAUGAUUUGCUUUUGCUGACUUUGGCUUCCCAAUGAAUGUGUUAUAGAAAAUGAAACAACUGAAAGCGAGUGAAGCACAGGAAAAGAUGCUCCGCUUGAGUGUAGAAACAGGUGGAUGUUCUGGGUUCCAGUAUGUUUUUGAUCUUGUGGAUGACAAAACCAAUCCAGAUGACAGGUUUAUAUUUUCCCCUUCUCAAUCCCUAUACAUGUAAUUCUUUACUGAAUUAGAAAAUAUGCUUCUGCUUAUCAGGCUUGCUUGUUUAAUUGAACAUUCACACACCAGCAUUACAUUUUUGACACCUUUUUUUCUUAUCCCCCUGUUGGUAGAGUGUUCGAGAAAGAAGGUGUAAAAUUGGUGGUCGACAAUAUUUCGUAUGAUUUUUUGAAAGGGGCAACCGUUGAUUAUGUUGAGGAGCUGAUCCGUUCUGCUUUUCAAGUGAGUCAUUUAUUUUGUGUCCUUGCAUGUUUACUGAAUGUAUUUGUUCUUGUAUGGCGCUCUUAUACCUGUGUAGCCAACAUGGAAUCUCUUGAUUAGGGUAAAAAUAUAAGUAAAAUAAACUCUCCAGGAUCGAAUUGUUCAGAAUUAUUGAUGUUACCUAAUGACUUAUCUUACUGAGUGUGAGAGAAGUAAGAUACAAGACAACUAGCAUAGUGGUAUUGUAUUUAGGAUGUAUACAAUUGGACAUAUCAUGUACUCUUUGGCUGUGCUGGUGUUGGGGAUGUCCAAGAUACAGUUCCUCCUGAAAGAUCAUAUGACCUGUGGGUUUAUAUUGCCAUAGAGGCAUAGAUAUCAUUAGAGUAUUGCCCUUGUUUGGCACAUGUUCCUUGUGCUCUAAUAGGCUGCAGUGCUCAUAUGCUUGUGCACAAAUAGGUUAUGCUAGUGCCUUGUACUGUGUGAUUGCCUGGAUGUUCUGUUUGUGUCCGUCACUGCUCUGGUUCUAAAAAGAAAACGUUUAUGGCCUGGAACCUGCUGACCACCUACAUUGGUAGGAGAAAUAUAUUAUUUGAACCUCCAAGUAAACAUGUCGCUGUUUGUACUAGUUCAGACCUGCAUUAAGAUAGAUUUACGAGGAAAGUCUCAAUGCCAAGGUGUAUUCUCCCCUGAUGUUUAUGUUUAGAAUGUUAGGUUUGUCUAGAUUUUUAGCCAAGACCAAUUUAGGAUAUCGAACCAAUCACUAAUAUUAGAUUUUCUGCAAAACUUUAGGCACAUCAUCUAUCUUAUUAGGAUAGUGCAGUCUUUUGCAGAAAAAAAAAUUUACUAAAGCUGCAGCUCAAAACUGUGUACUCAUCAAGGGUUGUAGAUCCACAACUUCGAGUUUUUUAUUACAUGUAUUUGCAUUGCUAUGUAGUUACUGGUCGGUGUGUCAUCUGCUCAAGAGGAUAUGCAUGUAUGAUUUACCAUUUGCUUUCAUGUUUCUUUGUCUAGUUAAGCAUAUGAUUUUCAUAGAAUCAACAAGCCAAAUGAUUUUAACGCAAAUGAGUACUGUCACUAGUACAAGGUUCAUGUAGAACUGACAUAAUUCUGGUUUUACGUUUAGGUGACAGAAAAUCCAAGUGCAGUCCAGGGUUGCAGUUGCAAAAGUUCUUUCAUGGUGAAAUUAUAGACUUGUACUAUUAUGCUGAGAGGGCUGAAUCAGAUUCAGCUGAAAUCCAUUUUUGAAUAAUGAUUAUUUGACUACAGUGAAUACAGUUUUUGACAUAUCAAGUGCUUGUAUCACGUCAUUAAAAUUUCUUACCACUACAAUGGUAGCGCCAAACGUUGAUCAGUACCUUUCAACCUCCAAUGUCCGAACCAACCUAUGGAUCAACUGCAAUCUUCCUCUGUUUUGUUCUUUGUUUUCCAUAUUGUUGAUACUAGUGAUUGUAACAACCGACUAUCAUUUGCAAGUUGGAUUCCAGAUAUCAUGAAUAUAGAGAUCAUGAAUAUAGAGAUCAAUUCCUAUGCUGCUUCUUGCUUGUAAUUGAAUUGAAACAGGUGUAGAACGGCUGUAUGUUUGAUCUUACUUGAUGAAUAGUUGUUUGGUUAUGAAAGAACAUAAAACUGAAUUGGAUAGCAGCAAGAAAAAAUAUUCGUGUUAGGGUGCAGAAAAGAUUUGGGAAGAUGGAACACAUUGUUUCAUGUUAAGAUUGAAAGCUGCUUCCAGCUGACACAUGGGAACCAAAACUUAUUCCUGCUAUGAGGCUCGGGAAAUCAAGAAAUAUAUCAUGCUGAACAAAGGGGUUGAAUACUUGAAUUUGGUGGGUUAUGCAUUGCUUCAGUAUGCAACAAAGGAAAACAAACUGAAAAUAAUCCCUGUUCAGUAUGCAUUGCUUCAGACCCAAGAAAUGAAGACAUUCAAGACAGCAAAUUGUAAAUGCUCAGACAUAUCCAACCGGCAUUGCAAGUUGUUGGAAAAAAAAAAAAAAAAAAAAAAGAAGACUAGUACACAACAAACUAAAAACCAUGACAAGCAGAUAUUGAAGAACAAACAGAAUCCCUUCAAAAUUAAGCAUUCAAUUGAACAAAAAUCACAGUACACCUUGUAGUUUAGGCUAUGAAUUUAAACUAAAGUAAACAAAAGGAUGAUAGUUUUGCUACUGCUCUUCGUCCACAUAAUAGCUCCUGCUGAAACGUAAGAACUUAGUAGAUUCGAAUUGCUUUGCCCAUGGUGCUCUUCAGGUUCAACGACCUCACCUAUUUGACAUUCAGUGAAAAGAACCAAAUUAGUGACACAUAACAAAAUGAAAAAUAAACACCCAAAUGCUUCAAGCAGGAUGUAGCCCUGAACUUACAUUCUGCCAAUUCUUCUUCAAUAGAGAAACCAAGAAAUUGACACUGAGUUGCACAUUCUGGAAUAUCUGCUUCUCCUCCAUGGCAAGAUUCCCGACAGCAACACCCAUACAAAGAACCUUCUUGAGUUGGAACUUCACCAUGGCCUUGGUUUCAUUAAGCUUUGCCUCCAGAGAUUCCUGGUGACUCACAAGAGUUGGGAACUUACCUGCAAUGUGGCAACCAAACAAGACUUAGCCAAUCUACUCGUAAUAUCUAUUUAUUUAUUAACAUGAUAAUUGCAACAAUGAAUGCUCCACAAACAAGCUAAAUACAGUCUCAAAUAUAUUGACUACCCUAAUAUCAACAAUGCAAGUUCAGCAGCUAUACUACUCUAGACAGUAUCAAUUAUAUGGAGUCAAAUGCAUCUCUAAUAUCACCAUCACAUUGCAAAAAACCUCUAAGCCAACAAACAGAACAAACAAGGGAACCUAAAAGCUGCAACAACAAGGUAAAGCCUACUUGCCUGCCUUGUUGAGUCCAGGGCCCAAAAGACGAGGAAUUUGCUUGAUGACAGCCUCAGAAGCCAAAAAAGCAUGAUACUUCUUUGCAAGCUUCUUGACAAGCUUCUUGUUCUUGUUAAGCUUCUUCAGGGAUUCCACAUCCAUGUAGGCCAAUCCCAUCUUCUCAGCCUGUAGAACAAUAAAAGCAUUUAUAUAAUCAGGAACUUUCACUUGAUAACAGAAACACCCACACAACACACAUACAUAUCAAAUCAGUAAACGUUUUCUAUAUACCUCUUCGACAUGCUGGGCAUCUCCAAGCAUACAAACCCUCAUCUUGGGGCGAGGAAUGUGGGGAAGCCUGACGGAACCGCUGAAACGCUUGUCCUUUUGUGGGUCAUAGUUCUUCAGACCAAUCUGCAACUCCACAGUCUCAGUGAACUUCCUCUUCUUGGUCUCCGCAUUAGUCUUGAUCUGGGAGAUGGCCUCCCUCAAUGCCUCACUUUGAAGCUUACUGUAGCCAAAACAAACAACAGUAUCAAUAAUAAGAAAAACCCUAUCAAUCAAUACAAACACUUAUACAGAUUCCAAAACCCCAAUCAACUCAAAAACCCAGAUUACCAGUAUUAGGGUUCAUCUUGUGAAACACAACAACGUUCAUAAUCACAGAUUCCAAAACCCUAAUCAAUUCCUAGCUAGACGAAACGAAUAUGUAGUAAAAGAAGAGCAGAAAAGAUAGAUCUUUUGAUUACCUCAUGACGAAAUCGGAACAGGGAUGAAGGAAUGAGAGGGAUGGAGGAGACGGCUCUGAGUGAAAGGCGAAAGAGUGAGGAGCGUAGCGCUUUUAUAUAGAAACCCUAGCUACGUUUUCCGCACCUGCCCCUCGCACGUGCCGCUAUUUUUGUUUAUUUAACUUGGAGCCCUCGAUUUAUGGCUUUUCUACUCCAUUUGGCCCAUUGGGCAGACGUACGCGCUUAUAGAAAAUUGUCGCGUGGAUGUCAGUGUUUAACGUUAAUUUGCCGUUAUAGGAAACCCAAACUUCCCAUUUCUCAAACUCUCAAACUGUAUUCAGAGAAUCAAAUUUUUCUGAGUGUUGUGUUUUUGCCUACGGCCUCUCAAACCAGCUCCGCAAAACUUGGCGUUCUUUAGGGUUUCCUCAAAAGUUUUUUCUCUCCGUCCGACCGUUGACUUCAUCGUCGGACGGGAUUUCAUUGAUAAUCGGUUGGUGAUUAGGCUCUCUGGGUUUGUGGUGAACUAGUGAUGAAAGGAGAGGUUUUUUGGGCAGGAAUCUCGUAUGAUUUAAAGAAGGAUUGUCUUAACCAAAGAAUUAUAUGUCUUGAAUCACCACAACAUCUUCAAAUUGAGCCUAUAAAAGGAGAAGUUGAGGACCUGAACAACCAUCGAGCAACCCAAAAAACACUUAAAAACAACCUCAUAUCAUUUCAAACCUUCAAAUCGCCGAGGCACCAUACCUUCAAGGCUUCAAACUCCAAGCUCAGUUAACAUCUUCCCAAAUAGCUGUAUUUAACCCCUAUAUUUAAUUUACGAAAACAGUUUACCCAAUAAACUUCCAAAUUCUGUCACCGCAGUGUGUUUCUAGCUCCUACACCACGCUCACGUUGUCGAGCUCGUUUUGUCAAGCUCGUUUUCUUCUCAUUAAUCACACUUUUGGUUUAUUUUGGCCGAGUCACCACUUAAGUCAAAAAAGACCCUCACAACUACUCAAUUCAAUGUUGUUGUGAAUCGAUUAGAAUGAGAUCUUGAAAACACCCAACACAAUACAAUAAGAGAAUUACACAUAGAAAUAAGAAAACAUCUAUAAUGUGGUUUGAGAAAUUUGGUUAUGUUCGAUCACUAGGAACUUAAGAAUCUUCCUUGGGAAUAUUGGGUCUACUGAUGUAGUCAAUUAAAAUCUUUGAAUCUCCCUCGACUAUAAGCUUCUAAUGGUUAUGUAGCAGAGUAGCCAGAAGAUUGUAAAAUUUGCAUAAGGUUGAGUGUCAGUUCACAUCCAAAAACAAUUGGCAAUGGAUGAAGUGACACAAACUGUUAUAAACUCAUAAAUAAAGUCUCAUAUUCCUGAUGUGGGACUUAUAUCUCAACACACCCUCGCACGUGUGGCGAACUUUUAAGCCUAACACGUGGUCAACUUUUGGGUGACGUGGAGUUCGUGUGGCCAUUGAUACCAUGAUAAAGUAGUAUGAGGUUUACAUUCAAAAUCAAUUGGUUAUGGAUGGAGUGUUCCAAACCUUGAUAAACCCAUAACAACGUCUCAUAUUCUCGAUGUGGAAUUUAUAUCUCAACACAAUAGACGAAUCAUCAAAACUUAGAGAUAUAUAUAUAUAUAUAUUGAAUUAAUGAUUGGUCUUUUUCCAGAGCAAGCAGUAUAAAAUGUAAAGAUCAAGGAAGAAUAUAUUGUCCUUUAACUAAUGAUGAAUCAAGGCCAUGAAGAAUCAUUAUGUUCUUGCAUGUUCUUAACAAAACAAGAAUGGUUUUCUCCAAAAUGAAUGGUCCACAUUUUUGGUCAUUUGUCCACUUGAUGUUUGGUACUUAAGACUACAUUACACCUCUUUAUUUUUGAAGAUUGUCCUGAACUCAUGUGGGCUGCCUUAAGUUGUACCAAUAUUAACUCAUAUUUGGUGGUGUACAGGAUUAAAGAGUAGUUUGUUUGGUUUAUUAUUAAAAGGAUGAUGUUAUCUAAAGAAAACCCAUUUGAGUAUCCACAAUAACACCAUCUAAGGUGACCAGAAUGAAAACAAAUUGUUAUGUAAACUCAUUUAUUUUUGUACGUAGUGAGUAGUGACACCAAACAUGAGACUAACCAAACUGGACUCCUUAUUUAACACAGUCAUACUUAGUCCCAACAAACAAACGUGCAUAGUAAUCGAUUCCCGUUGAGAUAUGUUUGUCUUGAUCUUUGAAUAUUCAUUUGAUUAAGAUCAGCUUACUCCGGGUUAAUUAGAAUCUACAUGCUGGAAACUGCGUCUUAAUUUCAAUAGCUUGCAAACAUCGUCUAGGAUAAAUUUUCACCUUCUUUCAUCAUUUCUCUACAUGUUCCUAUCACUAGUUAGUUUCAUUGUCAUUUUUUCAUACCUUAUAAAAUAGUGGUGCUCCCUAAUGGAAACAAAACUUUCCUGAUCAGGUCACGGUCAUGAUAUAGAAUGAUUCCCCCUCAUUUCUUCGAAACUCACGUACAACCCUCUUCUAUUUGAAGUAAUUAAUUAUAAAUCCACCUAGCUAGCUAAGUUAUAUACAUGCACCCUUCAUUUCUGUUGAAUUCAUUGGUGAUUGGUCUCAUUUUCGGAAUCAUGGCCCCAAGAAAUUAUUCUAUCUCCAUGGCUCAAUACUGUUGUUGCGUUCUCAAACCGAUUCCUGGAGGGUUUUCGUGGCGAAAACUUCCCAGAUGGUUAAAAUGUCUGGUCUUGUGCAAGUGCAUAAUCGGCCACAUCACGUUCUGGUUUGGAGCGUUCCUAUUGAUUUUCUGGCUGGUCUUCCUUCCUCACGAGCCUAGAUUUACUGUUACGGAUGCCCCUCUAACCCAAUUCAUUUUCAGCAGCAGUGACAGCAGCACCGGUACUAAUCUUCACUACCACCUCGCCCUCAACAUCACCAUCAGAAACCCCAAUAGAAGGGUCGGCAUUUACUACCGCAGCAUGACAGUGUCUGCUAGCUACAGAAAGAAGAAGUUUGGCCUGGUAAAUUUGACGGAUCCGGUACCAUUUUACCAAGGCCACAAGAACACAACUCUCUUGCAUCAUCUUGUGCUUAAAGGGCAGCAGCAGUUGGUGAAAUUUGGGAAGCGUGACAUCUCCCAGUUUGACAAGGAGACUGUUGCUGGGGUUUAUAGUAUUAAUGUGCAGGUAACUUUUCGGGUCAACGUCAGGUAUGGAAAGAACAAGGUGAAGUUUUUGAAACCGGAAACCUACGAUGACCAACAUAUCAACUGCAAGCUGAAACUUCCUUUCAGUGUUACUAAUGAGACAUCUGGUAAUGGUUUCAAGGCUACAAAGUGCGAUGGUGUUGGUAUAUUCAAGGACUUACCAUACUGAUCGAGCAAAUUAUCCCAAAAAAAAAAAAAAAUUGUUUUACUACAGUUUGCACGGUAUAUAAGCUCCAUUUCUGAAUUACUUGAAUAUUGUAAAAGUUCACCAAACAUAGAAGACAGUUCUCUGUUUUGGCAUUACUAGUAAAAUGGGCUAUAGCCACCCCAUUCUGGACACUCUCAUGUAACGGUGUCUCUUUGCGUGCGAUAACCAUAUUGUGAUUCUUCAGUUAUGGUGAGUUGCUUGCUUUAUAGCUUAAUUUGCAUGAUGGACUUGUUUCUUUCUCUGUCUUUACGUCUUCAUAGCGGACAUGAACUUGUAAAUCAUCUCCAACAUUAGAUGGAUCCCUUCCAUACCUAAGUAAGAAAGCAAACAUGAAACCAGCACAACACUCAAAUUUGAAGCUAUGCAUAUGCUGAUUUGCUACCCUGCUUAACUUGAUUUCAGCUGACUGAAACAUUUGGGAUGUGCUCAUGUGCAUAUGCACAGCAUCUACACUUCUGAAGUUUCAAGCAACAGGUUCUGCACGAAGCAUAUGCAGAUAACAAGGAUAUACAUCAUGUAAACCAGGGAAAAUGAAAUGCAGACUUUUAUAGUGAACAUCCCCCAACAUUGCUUUACUCCACGUCCUAUGUGCCAUAAUUCAACUAUGCCUAAUUUCUUAUGCCUUCAGUAACAUUGAUGAAGGAGAUGACUUCUCUAACGCAAGAAUAUUACAAGGGUCAGAAACAAUGGAGUCCAUUGAAUGGACGACCGACCUUCUGAUCAGUGACAUCACUGACAUGCCACUUCGCCUAAGAUGCCUCGCCAGUUUUCUUGAUGGUCUUCAUUUCCUUAUCAUUUGAAUGCCGAGUUUGGGACCCAAUUUACUGUCAUGAAUGCCUUAACGUCACCAACAACUCCAGUGCCACUCUCCAUUACAACCUCGCCCCCAACAUAACCAAACCCCCACAAAAGGAUCGGAUGUGUUACCCAUUUCUACUAGCCACAGAAAUAAGGAACUUGGUUUUAGUGACAUUACCAUUGCCAGUGCUCCAAUGGCAGCAUCAAUGAAAUUUGGAUGCUGCCGCCUGGGGGGUCAUAGACUUGUAGUAUUAGAAUGCCUCUCAAUUUUCGGGUUAAGGUAGAUCUGAUAUUGAAGCUCCGUUUUUAUAGCAAUUGAAUGAAUUGAUAGAGGUAGAUUAGAUUUCUAGUUAAUACGUUGAUUCAACAUAAGUAGACUUUCUCCGAAUAUAAAUUUUCUCAACCAACCUUUAACAAUAACCUCAAUUUAUCAAAGGUAAGGAAACCCAAACCACUCAUGAGAGUACAUGAACCAUUGUCAGAGUCAACCUGACCAUACACAAACAAUUCAACUUAAAAUGUGAACAUGAUUGAUAUGUAAGUUAGAUCCGCCCCAAAUCUUUUAUUACAAAAAUGAGUUUCUACCUAAUGCAACUUUUGGAAAGCGAAAAAAAUAAAUGGCGAAACAGAAGAGUUGAAAAUUCUACUCAUCAACUGGCCUUUGCCCCAAAACUGGGAUGUCUUCAUACCGUUUCUGUGUAAGAAAAAAGCAUUGAUGUCAGAUGUAAUAUGGAAAAUCAGAUUUUCUUACAAGUAAUUCAUAUUGAUAAUGCUGUAAACCCCUUAGUACCAACUAGUACAGAAAAAUCUUGACUGCAAAGAAGGUAUAUACAUCACAUGUGACGUGUCAAUGGAUGCAGAAAGCAAAUACAACACAUCAUUUUGCCCCAGACUCGUACAAUAUUUCUCUAGAAAAGGCCAUUUCACUAGCAAAUAUCUAAUUCUGAACAUGCAUCUGUCAGUCUAAUGAACAUAGGCAUACUUCUGGCCAUGUAGCAACAAUUCUCUAUAGAAGCAAAAGAAUAGGUAGAAGCUACACAUAGGAACUAAAAUUAUAAUUUUUCACAAAAUAUGUAAACCAAUAAUACACAGAGAUACACAUGUAAAAUGUUCAAGCCCCCAUAUUUUGAUAAUCAGCAACACAAGAGAUGGAUCACAAACUCAUAUACAUAGAAUCAGUGAGUGCAUGCAAAGCACCAAAAAAGAAAUACAACGGACAAACGUUAAACAGGUGACAUACCCCAACAUUGUUGUACUCCCAUAGCCUAUGAACUCCAUAAUCCACAGCCUGAAACGAGGAAAAUAAGUAAAUAAAAAACUCAAAUAUUUGUUCAUGUUCUUUCAGAAAAAAAAAAAAAACUACAGAAAUCAAAUACUUAACAUUGAGAAAAAUGCACAUAAAACAAUUUCAGCAAAGAAGAAACAAGCUUGCACGGAACAAUGUUUACGCCCCAAACAUAAAUGAUUAUGUAUGAACUAUUUCGUGACCAUUUUCAAAACAAAAACAGGUCUUUUAUUCUAUCCCUACAAAACGUAAACACCUUAGUGAUGAGGCUAAGAGCAUCUCCAUUUGGCCAAGUCAUAAAAAAGGAAAGCCCUUGUCACAAAUUGGGACAAAUUCAUGACCGCAAAGCACCACAUCAAUAUCCAUGGUCCAGACUGCUACAUAAAGUCACAUUAACAAAAAUGUUCCAACUACCAUACAACAAAGACAACUGAAUUUGGGAUAUAAGAGUAUUUCAAAAACCAAUUUUUAAGCAUCAUGAUAAAAACAAAAUUAAUCAAAAGCCCAUCUUUCCUCUGCGUGUCUGCCUUGCUACCCCCUCAAAACCAAAACUCCCAACAUGAAUCACUGCAUUUGGAACAUAGGUAUUGUCUAAAUGAUGUCCACAACGAAAUAAAGACUUUUGUACUCUAUUCUAGUCAUCUAUAAAUCCAGAUCAUCAUUGAUUCUUCUAGUACCUAUAGAACGCACCUCAGCAAACAAAACUAUUACGUGUUGUCCUCAUUGUUUAUUUUAGCUGACUUUGGAAUAUGACACCUUCUCUAUCUCUCUGUCUCACAUCAGUUUCCAUCUCCUACCAGCAUUUCCAUUUCUUCUGAAUAAUUGGUGACGACAGUUUGAGGACAUCAAACCUUCUCAACCAAAAGUCAGCAGGGGAAGGCCUCAAUCCACCAAAUUGAUACCCAAAGCACAAGUGUUCAGAAAAACACAAGUAAAGAAUACUUGUCUCUUUCAUGUACAUGCCAACAGGUUCCAGUACCUGCUAGCUCAAGAUGAUCCAUGAUUAAACUUGUCAUCUUAGCAUGUACAUUAUGCACAGAAACUAUAGACUUUUUUCUUUUUCCAUUCGCCUUUGCUUUGGAUUCUAUAGCAACACAGCAUUUUGUUGUCAAUCAAUCUCAUCCAGUAGACCAUGUGUAAUUGUAUGGUGUUUCCUGGUCAGCCAGAAACAGUGUUUCCUAAUCUAAAUACAAUGUACAUUCAUCGUCACAGAACAAGAUCUACUUCGAAUUCAAUGCUGAGUCCCCCAUUUACAACCUCAAUCUCCACACAAAAGCAUUGCAUAACUACCACCAACAAAAUUUCAGAUUUCUGAAUUUUUAUCAUCCAAAGACCAAAUGACAAAGGCCCGUCUAAACCCCAAACAGAAAAGGAAUAAAGGUUCUGAUUAAACCUAGGAAAUUCAAGCACAAGCCUUGAAUGGCAAAAUCGAGCAUUCUUCACUAUGUAAACUUUCUACCAAUCCAACGCACAACUUCAUAACUACAGAAAUGCCUAAAAAAUUCAAACACAAAAACUGAUCAUAGUAAAUUGUUGCGAUAAUAUACUGAAAGAGAAAGAAUUUCGCAUCAAGCAAUAAUGAUAUCUGAAUUCCAUAAAACCGAAAUCUAAUAUCUGAGCUCAACGCCAUACUGUGUUAACCUAAUCCCAAAUCAAGCAACUUCAAUUUCGUCAGAUAAAUUAGCAAUCAAAUAAACAAUAACCAAGAGAAACAUAAACCAUAGAAUCAGUUCGUGAAGAUCUGAGGGCUUACCCGCUCGCCGAGAAAGGCGCCGGCGAUGACGAAGGUGACAUAGACGGAGUUGCGGCGCAUGAUGACCCUGUAAAGACCUUCGAAGAGGCCACCACCGCUUCUGCGAGCCGUCGCUGAUUCCAUGGCGAUUGGUGCGAGUCUUGCUUCGGAUCUGUGCGCUAGGAUUUGCUCAGAGCUCUGGCGUCUCCGAAAUGGAAUAGAGAAGAAGACGACUCUGAUGUCUAAUAUGCCCUUCUGGUGAAGUUCUUUUGGGCCAGAUAUAUAUUUGGGCUUUGAAUUGGAGUAAUUGGACCAUUGGAGGAAUUGUUUUUUUUUUUUUUAAUAGAAAGCAAUUAUUCUGAUUAAAAAAAAGGUAUUUAUUCAAUAUAGAAAAAACUAAUCAAAAGUAUAUAGUGAUUUCAUUAACCCGUCACCGACAGGAAGAGCACAACGCUCCAUUCAAACUUACUCAAGAAUAUAACUCUUGAAAUAAAACGGGAGACGACCUUUCUGGUACCAUCUUUCAUCAAUAAGUAAGGAAUAAUUAUGCAAGAGCAAGAACGUAUUUGGCAAAACAAGUCAUUUGUUUUGAUACUUAACAUGUUGCGCAAAGAUUUUCAAUAACUGAUUAGACACAAAUUUGAUUUAUCCUUUUUUAUUUUUUUUUACAAUAAAAAUUCAAUACAAAUUUAGUAUGUCACUCCAUUCACAGGUGUGAUAGCAUCUUAAACAUUGUUGUGUGUUGAGUUUAACGCGGCAUCACUAUUUACUAUAGACUUUUUGACUGUAUUUUAAAUCAAGUUACGUCGAUUUUUUAGUUAUAUUUUGAAUCUUGUUUAAUUUGCGGAAUAUUUUUUUUCAUUCCAAACACAAAAAGUUAUUCGUGAUGCUUCUAUCGAGCUACCAAUGGAAGUUUAAGAAUUUAGAUUUUUCAAAACCAUCAAAACCUUUAAGAAUUUAAAAAUAAAAUCAAGAUUUUAAUUCACUCGAACUCUCCACACUAGGAACUCGAGUUUGUGUUGAACUGUUGAUGCAACUCGCUCUAAAUUCUAAAGCCCUACCCAAAAGCUCUCUCAAACUUACGUAUUUGUCAACGCGCGCACAUCAACAACUCACGCCGACCUUUCCAAACACCACCGGCACUACCUAACCCCCUUCCCUUCACUCUCUCCACCCAUGGAGACUCUCAAGCAGAUUCAGAAGCUCGAGGGCCACACCGACCGGGUCUGGAGCCUCGCGUGGAACCCACUCUCCGGUCUCAACGGCCACCCCCUAAAACUCGCCUCAUGCAGCGGCGAUAAAACCGUCCGUAUCUGGGAACGCAAACCCUCCAACUCCUGGGAAUGCCAGGUCUUCCUUCUUCUCCGCUUCUUUUCAAUUUUCUCGUUUACAAUUCUGUACUGAGGUUUCUGGGUUCUAGGCAGUUCUGGAUGAUCCGCACAGCAGGACCGUCCGAUCGUGCUCUUGGUCCCCCUCCGGUAAAAUCCUAGCCACCGCCAGCUUCGACGGCACCACCGCGAUUUUCCAGGACGUUGGGGACGAUUACGAGUGCGUCUCCACUUUAGAGGUAGUUUGAAAGACUGUUGUCGUUAUUGUGUCUUUUGCUUGAUUCUAGGAGUUGGUUUUGUUUUUGAUUUCGGUUUGGGUUGUUGGGGAAUUAGGGUCACGAGAAUGAAGUGAAGAGUGUGUCUUGGAAUGCGUCCGGGUCUCUGCUUGCGACUUGCGGGAGGGACAAGACUGUGUGGAUAUGGGAGGUGUUGCCGGGGAAUGAGUUUGAGUGCGUUGCGGUGUUGCAAGGCCAUACGCAAGAUGUGAAGAUGGUUCAGUGGCAUCCCUCUGUGGAGCUUUUGUUUUCGUGUAGCUAUGACAACACUGUCAAGGUAAAGGAUUUUCUUGGAGUUGGAUGAGUAAAAGAUUGCUUUUUCGGGUUGUGUGUAUGUGAGACUGGGAGAUUGGAUAUUUUGUGAUUGAGUGCAGUGUUUUUCGUGUAGAUAUGGGCAGAUGAUGGUGAGGAUGAUAACUGGGUGUGUGUGCAAACGUUAGCUCAAUCUAACAGGUACUACGCAAUAUCCUCUUUCUAUGUUCAAAUUUCUGUUUUGUUUGCUCAGAAUCAUUCCGUGAUUUUAUGUAAUAUUUAUGAUAGGUGUGUAGUGUUUUUCUCCUCAAGUACCUUAUUCUAAAACAAGACCAUGUUGAUCAGUUAGAUGACAUAGAUGGGCUCAACCGUCCAUAUAUAAAUCAAAUCAAAUACAAUCUCAUUUACGGAACCUAGGAGGGAAUAUGUUUUGUAGAUAUACACUGCCUUAGUGGUCUAGAGCAAUGGUGCUUGUUAAAGUAUAGCAUUUUGUCUUGAAUUCAGUCUAAUUCAGUUCAACUGGUUUUCUUGGUAGUGGUCACUCUUCUACUGUAUGGGCUCUAUCAUUUAAUGCUACGGGAGACAAAAUGGUUACCUGCAGGUAAGGAUAAGUGAUCUGCUAUCCUAAUUCCAUUAAUGAGAAUCUGUGACAAACAGAAAGUAAGUUUCGGGCUGUACCUAAUAAACUAAUGAUGGACUGAUAUGGCAGUGAUGAUCUUACCCUAAAGAUAUGGGGAACAGACAACGGGAAGAUGCUAUCUUCGGAUGGCUUUGCACCUUGGUGAGGAGCAUGCUGUGUUAUGUAUAUUUAUCUUUUUAAAAUCCAUUUUGUGAAUUUGGUACAUUUUAAAUUGCUAAAUAUUGUUUAUGAAAUAUAUAUUAAACCAUGGUCAUUGGUUUAAGUUGAAGUGGUUGUUGAAAUGGAGAAAAAAUGUGGUUUAACUUAAAAAAAAAAAAAAGAUAGGACAUAUUCAUUAGAAGCAUCUUUGAUAUAAGACAUAUUCAUUAGAUUUAGCAGUAGCUUCAGACAGUGAAGUAAACUGGAUGCAAAUGAUAUGGAGUCUACAGAAAUAAACUAAUUUGAAUUGCUUCCUUUCUCUCUCUCUCUCUCUCUCUCUCUCUCUCUCUAUAUUNNNNNNNNNNNNNNNNNNNNCUUCUCUCUCUCUCUCUCUCUCUCUCUCUCUCUAAUAUUGAUUUCCGUACUUUUAGUUCCCUGUGAUUUGAUUUCCUCUGCAUAGUAUUUCUCUUCCUGGGAGCAGUCAGACUCCCUGAUACAUGCCUCCUUCAAUUUUAUACAAUUGAACAUGACUUGAAGUGCUGUAUGUAUUCUAGAAUGAGGGCAAUGCAUUGAUAGGAGUCAUCUUUACUGAAUUUGAAAAUUGCUCUAUCUAUUAGUCUCUUAGUGUUUCUUACAUGAAUGCGACUAUUUUAUUUUCCAGAUUAAUGUGCUUCCACUAGGUUUCGCAAAAUCAGGGAUCAGGCUUCAUUUCUUUAAGGCAUGAAAACCACUUGCUUAAGAUAAUGCUGGCAGUUGUAUUGUAUUGGUUGUAGGGUUUGUCUAUUUUUCAGUUCAAAGUAUAUUUUUUAAAUGUUGUUGAUGCCUUCAUAGUUAGAAGUUAGCUAUUUGCUUACUGAUUUUGUAGUCACAACAUUGGCUGCUUUUGAAUUUAAAUAAUGGUUAGUGUUUCACUAUCUGUUGAUAUCAAUGUUCUCUGCAGCGUGCAUCCCAAUAAAAUCAGUAUUUGUUGUCAACUAAGCAAUUUGUUUGGUACAAUUGUGAUUUUAGGCCGUAAUUCGGUUCUGCUUUCUUGUACUUCAACCUAUAUAAUGAUUCAUCUGUGGGUUUUGUCAGGAGUCAUCUUUGCACUAUUGCGGGUUAUCAUGACAGGACUAUAUUUUCAGUUCAUUGGUCAAGGUAAUGCUAUCGAACCAAAAGAAGUACUCCUAAAUUUUCUGGCUUUACAAUAUAUGAGAUAGAUUAUAUUCUCUAGAUUUACUAAUGAAUAAAUUGUCAGAUUCACUUUACUGAAGAUCUUUCUUCAAUGUAAGAUAAUAUUGUAAGCUAGGAAAAUUUAAGGUAAACAUAACCACUUUCUGAUAUCUGGAUUUUGUUUUGGUGAAAAAUUACAGGGACAAUAUCAUUGCCAGUGGAGCUGCUGAUGAUGCCAUAAGAUUUUUUGUGGAGAAUAAUGAGAGCGAUAGUUUGGUAUGUCAUAAUCUUUGAUUGUUUCAUUUGUUGUAUUAGCAUUUGUUCCAGCAGUGGAGUGGCCUAGUUUCUGUAUUGGUUCUGAAUGUAAAUUUCUUCAAAAAAAGAACUGGCAAGCUGAUUGAAGGGUUAAAAAUAAUCUGACUGUUGUUUUCAUUUCAGGUCAAUGGACCUUCCUAUAACUUGCUUCUCAAGAAGGAGAAAGCCCACGACAUGGAUAUAAAUUCAGUGCAGUGGUGCCCUGGGGUAAAUUUUCUCUCUACAGUUUAUCGUUAGUUCUGUGAGGUUCCGUUUUUUUCCCCUGUGAAUUCAGGGCCCGGACUCGUGAUUUUUAAUGAUGUUCAAGAUUCCAUUUUUCUUGUUUCCACAGUGAUGGGAAACAUAGUCCCUUGAGAACUAAGUUCUGUAACUCUAAUUGCAUGGGAAACAUAGUCCCUUGAGAACUAAGUUCUGUUACUCUAACUGCUACCUUGCUGCCACUGCUACCACCCCUAUCAUAUCUACAACACUGCAAACAUGGACUGCAUGACUCUCAUUAAGGGCAACCAUUAGUUUUUCCACCACACGAAGUACCUACUCAGCUUCUAAGUAGUAUUGCCCUUAGAUGCACAUACAUGGUUGCAUACAGUUACUUGCAGCAGCUCAAACUACAAUUUCCCUUUUGAUUGUGCUUUUUUGGAUUACUUAGUUCUCAGCGUAUUCUUUUUACAGCAAAAUGUAUUCAGUAGUCAUGCAUGUUUGGGAGAAUCUAUUUUAGUUUUUAAUUAGUUAAGAGCAGCUUAUCUUCAAUACUAACAUUUUUCUCAUAUUGCUGUUGAAUUUGACAGGAGAAUAGGCUUCUUGCUUCUGCAGCUGAUGACGGGACGAUCAAAAUAUGGGAGCUGACAUCUGUUAGCUGCUGAAACAACUGUAUCAUAUGUAUGUCAGUUGUUAGUGAAGUCUCUUGUGAAGUGGAUACAAUGAAUGUUUAUGAGAAUGAAAGUGGUGAAGAUUGAAGCUUAUAGUGCAAUUUAUAGAGAGACGGCAUCUUCUGCAGCCAAUAACGGGACAGUUAAAUCUGAGAGAUGACAUCUGUAUGCUGCAGGAAGAACCUCUUCGCUUUUUGUAGCAAAAAUUAAGCAUGAUUAUAAAGGAAUCAUCAUGUGUAUGUCUUAGUUAUUAGAUGUAGUGUUAUCUUUUUGGGAAUAAAGAUAGUGUUACUUCUUCCUCUUGGUUAUUAGGAUUGAUAAUUUAUAGAUUUGCUAACAAGAAUGCUCAGAGAUCAACUUAUAUAGUUUGUCUUCGAAAAUUGAGCAGUAUGGUUUAUAUUCGGAUCACCAUAUAGCUAAUGAUGGGAAAAUUUUGACAGUACAUGAAGUUUCUUCUACUGAUAAUUAAGCUUACUCAACUUUACAAAACAUCACAAUAGUACCCGAAGUUUAAAAUCCGACUCAAGAUAUAUACCGUCAGUUUGACCGUUAAUCUGUUUCAUUCCGUCAAGUUUAUAAGGGCAAAUUCGUCUCUUCGUAAUGAUAACGAAAAAAUAAAACAGAAAAUAAAAAUAAAACAAUAAAAUAGAGAUAAGGGCCAAUCUCGUGGCUUCUUUGUUCCUCUGCGACCAAAACCUUUAUCAUCUUCUCCGAACACCAACAGAUUGAAAACCCAUCACAUAGAGAUUCCAACUUUAUCACUUGUUCUCUGGCUCAAUAAAUGGCAUGGUUCUUCUUCUCUGGCAGUUGGAGCACUUUCUGAAAAUGAGCCAUUAGGCCUAAUGGAGACCGGAGAGGUACAUAUUAGGAUUUAGAAAUGAAUAUAAUUGAAACAGAGAAGCAGACAUGCUGUAUAUGAAAACACCUAUUGGAGUUGGGUUCUCUUAUUCAACUGUUACAUCAUCUUAUGAGUAUAUAAAUGACCAUAUCAGAGUCAGGGACAAUUCGAUGUUCUUCCAAAAGAGGUUGGACAAAUUCCCUCAAUAUAGAAACAGAAGCUUUAUUAUUAUUGAAAGCUAUGCUGGACAUUGUGCUCCCCAGCUAGCAGGACUCAUGCUCCAAUUCAGCAAGGAGUGCCAUUUCAAUUUAAAGGGAAUUGCUUUGGUUAAUCACGUCCUAGAAUAUGCUACUGCUUCAAUUCAAGGUCCAAGUUCUUUUAGUCAUAUGGAUUGAUAUCAGAUUCAACAUAGAGAAUGGAUUUCCAUGAUCUCAAAUUGUCCAUCAAUAAAGAACCAAAGUUGACUAGUCAAGCUAUAUAUGGAUUUCCUAAUAAUCUCAAACAAUACAAAUACUAUUAAUCAGAAAUUUACCAAAUCCACAGACUCAGUCGAUUUGGUCCCCGCUCGGAUCCAUCGCCUGCCUCGGUGCCUCCACAAUUGGGUCUCAAUGCCCUCGAGUGCUCUGUGCUCCACCAUUUGGAUCUCCAGCAUUCUCACCAGAUCUGCCCCCGCCGUCACCAUCUUUGAUUUUGGUAGAGUGGUAGAGAGAGAGCUGAUUGUUUAUAGACGCCGGUGUAGAGACAAGUUUACCCUUAAAAAUAUGUCAACUGCAAUGCUAGGCAUGUAUAAUAUUUAGACCGUGUUUGUUAGUUUAGGUACCAAUAUGUUAUUUGUCAAAAUUGAGAGACCUCAUAAGUAUAAACUGUGGAGAUAAAGAUAGAAAGAGAAUCGAGAGACUUAUUCAUUGAUUAGAACCCUUUAUAUAGUGAAUUACAAAAUAUCAAUAUGGUAAUAAUAAAGAAUAUAUAAUCAUAUUCUAAUUACAUAUCCUGAUGGCAUAAGGCCAAGACACACAUAUGGAAUAUCCUAUAACACUCCCCCUUGUGCCGCGCGCCGGUAUGCCGGUGGUGCUGAUAUGUCGUCUCGUUAAAAACCUCAUCAAGGAAAAAAAAACCCUAUGGGAGAAAAACUAAACCUUGAUCAUAGGAGAAAAAGAGUACAACACACCCUUCACAUUUGAUAGAUAUGUAUGUGCUAGACUCCCCCUGAAGUUCGCACCUCCCCCUAAUCUUUAAUCAAGAGAAAAAGCCCUAAUGCACAAAAUAGAAAAAGUCAAACUCUAUUUCAAUGAUAAUCUUUUUUAUUAGCCCAUUUGAAUACAAGGUACUUAUUUUAAGCCCAAAUACACAAAUCUUUAUUAAAAUAUAAUAAAAUUAUAUUUUUAAAGACUUUUUUACCCUUACCUUUUACUUAAAGAGAAAUAAUAAAAAAGAUGGAGGGAAGACUUUGCCGGAAGCACACCGGGCUCCGACGCCAGUCACCGGCGGCCGCAUUCCGGUCGCCGGACUCCGAACUCCGGCCGCCGAAAUCCGGUCACAGGUGACCGGAAUUUUCCGAUUGCCGAAAAAUUGCCGACAUCCGGUGGCCGGAAUUUUACUACCCCUAGUAAACUUCUGCUGGAAGUAGUAAUCUUUUACUGGGGGUAGUAAACUUGCAAAACAGUAGCUCCAAUGGCAUAAUUCAUAUUGAAAAGGAGAAAAAUCAACUUAGAUGCGAAAAAANNNNNNNNNNNNNNNNNNNNNNNNNNNNNNNNNNNNNNNNNNNNNNNNNNNNNNNNNNNNNNNNNNNNNNNNNNNNNNNNNNNNNNNNNNNNNNNNNGAGAGAGAGAGAGAGAUUAUCGAAAAGGAAAGAAGAGAGAGAGAGAAACGAUCUGAUGGAAAAGGAGAGGAGAAGAGAGAGAAUGAAUAUAAGGGUAUAAAUGUAUUUUACCAAGUAACAGUUGGAAUGGGCAAUAGAAUCUUAUUUUCAUUGAACCGGGCCAAAACUUCUUAAAAUUAGUACUAAAGUGUCAUUUACUCUUUAAUCAAUCAUAGGGAUCUUCUUAAUUCUUAUUAAUCACAAAAAUUUUAAUAAUUUAGCAUGUCAAUGCUCUUUAACAUGUCUUCAAAUGUGGCAUCGGGCAAUGAUUAACUAGAUCAUGUCGGAUUGUCCUCAAACAUGAUCUUUUACACUUAGAUCUUGAGGAGAAGGCCGCCUGUGAACUCAAAACAUAAGUUCAUGCAGGAAAUCAGAUUUCCGCGCAGCAUGACUUUUAGUUAGUUACUAGAAUAGCGGUAACUUCCUCUAGAAAAUACAUAUGAACGAACCGUAAACGGUUUUGGAAACUAGACUCAUUUAGCUUUCCAACCGUAUAUUACACACAUUCUGGUUCAUCGGGAGUUGUUCACAAAGUCCAGUCAAAGUUGACUGUUUUGGCAAAAUUAGAUUCUCAGACAGAUUCAUCAUACUUUACGAAAAUGGCCAUAACUCACUAAAUGAUAGGUAUGAUUAAAUGGUUGAUGUCCCUGGAAAGUAGACACAUAGAUCUUUCCAAUGGUACCAAUUUCACCAUUUUUAGUGAGUGAGAUUUCCUGUAGAUCUCGUGGAAGUUGACAUACGAAACUUGGCAGAUUCUGAUUUCGUUUUUAAUGUGUCUUUCUAUUGUCUUAGCCUUUCAUACCAUUAAGUAUUGAAAAACGAGUUACUGCCAUUACAUUAGCGUUGCGAGGGCGCAUAGCUACACUUUGCUUUACAACUUUUCAUAGCGAAUGAGAUGUCAAGUCUUUCGUAUUGUGUUGAGUACAAUGAUGCGUCUUAUUGUACUUAGAUGGGAUCUCCAUCUCUUAACACAUAUUUGUCAUCUUGCUUUAGACAAAACAAUGGAUCUCUCUUUAGAGCAAAGACUUUGACUAAUCAUGGGAGUAUAUGUAGGCCUCACUAGUUAUAGAGUGCCUAAGCCGAUUGAUGGAAAAUCAUCAUCAAUACAGUCAUCGAGUGCCUUAUCGAGACCGUGUCUUCCCAAGAUUUUUUCAUUCUAACUUCGGAUGUUGAUACAUAUUGGCAUCUCUUGAUCCAUCAAGAGUCCAUGUAAAUCCGGAAUGAACACGCAAAUGCAUAAUUCACCAUAACCCUUUCAAAUCAAGUAGAGUUCGUGUGCGUUUCAAUACCUUUAGCAAACGUGUGCUCCUGUGGUCUGGAGCCACUUGAUUCGGACGAAUGAAGUCCGUUUAAGACCUUCAUGUAUAUCUCUGAUCUCAUAGAGAUGUUAUUAUGACCACAUUCAUAGGCUGCAUGUUCAGUCAUUCAGAAACUACCAAACUGACAAAGUAGUGGAGUGCAAUGACAUCCAUUACGAGAGUAUAUCUCAUUGUAGUCGACCCUAGUACGUGUAAGUGAGAGACCUUGCACCAUAAGAUGAGUCUAAGCUCUUGUUCUCACUACGCUAUCUAACAAAGACAUAGUUGAUAGGGUUUAACUUGCGAUGUCGGCAUCACCUGCCCAAGGACCUAUCUCUUUAUUAAUGCUGGAUCACAUCUUCCUAUUAGGCCAAUCAACUAAAUUGAUAUCCAUCAACGAAUGGUAGUUCGAUAGUAGACUCGUUAUCCCACGUCCUCAUGUACACUAAUACUUGUAGAGAUCUUUAUAUGGAUUUGAUUUGACAUUGAGGCGUCCCCCAACGAUAAUCACAAUUCAGACUUCAUGAGAUGGAUUUGAGUAUCACUGAUCAAUGGAUCAGGUUGUGCCAAUCUCGCUUCUUCCUAGUGCGAGAAAGUAUCGAACCUAAGGGCCUCCCUCCUUUUGGGGAGCCACAUGGCCUUGUGACACCAAUUUUGCCACUAUAUGGCGUCACCAUAUCACCAUCCAUAGUGAUGGCGUCAAGACCAACUCCUUUUGGUAGCGUCAUGUCCUCUUGAUAGGACAUCAAUCCUUGCAGACAUAUUUGUUGUCACAUCCCGACCCUUAAAUUUUUACCUUAUUUACUAGCUUGGUAUUAAUAAGAAUUUUACCGUCUCCGUCAAUGAAUUUAUAGUUUAUUUGGUCCCUAGAGGGGUUUUGAGGGACGAUUAUUUCGGAGGAACUAUUCGUAAGAGAAAAUGGUGACGACGUUAAAAAUAGUAAUUUUAGCUAGUAAAAUGUAAUUUUUAUUAGGGUAUUAUUUUUAGGGUGUAUUAUGUUUUGGAGUGGGGUGUUAUGUAUGUGGACCGGGCCAUUUUUGGGUCAAAAGCCCAAAAGACUUAAGUUUAUUUUUCUUCUCUUCCUUCUCUUUCUCCCAGUACUCUCUCCUGAGCUCUCUCUCCCUCCGUCAGAAGUCCAGUGCUUGCCGCCGUCGUCCGGCCGAGCAAGGCUGCCGCACCGGUCCCGUCUGGACCGGCGUCUCCUCCUCUCUCACCCUAGGCCGGUGAGCACUGCCACAGCGCCGCUGAACGAGAGGAAACUCAUCCCAAAGGGCUGACUGUUUUCUCGCCGGAGCUCCCUCCUCCGGCCGCCAUAGCCGGCGAUUCUUGGCUCGUUUUGAAGCUCUCCUCCCGUGCAUCAAUCCCUCCAAAGGUGUCUCUCCCUCUUAAGCUAGGUAAUGAGAUAUUUGGUGUUGAAGCUCUAAGGUUUUCUAGAAUGUUUUCUUUCGAUUGACCUAGUUAGGCUUGGAAUUAGGUGUUGUGCUAGUUAAAGAAGUUGUAGAGUGAGUUGAGAGGAAGUUGCUGUUAAAAUUUGGUAGGCAUAAGAGGUUGCCGGAGUCGGCCUCCGGCCACCGCUGUUUGGGGGAUUUUUAGGGUUUUAUUCGUGUUAUAAUUAGAGGAGUUUAAUGAAGUGAUUUGUGGAAUUUUUGGAGGAGUUUUGGAUAGGCUUGGGAAUUUUUAAAGUUUGGUAAUUUUGGCGGUUAUUUAAGGUAGAAUCCGGCCGUUGAUUUAAAGUCGUAUAAUCUGUAGAGGGUUAUAUUAAGGCUACCGGUAUGUUCGGUGAAUGUUCGGUGAAGUUUGGGCCAUAUUGAGUUAAGAAUGACGAAGUUGGGCAAUGAUGAGUGUGUUGAAGGCUCACGUUUAAUUUUACCCAUUUUGUAUAAUUAUUGGAUUUUUAAUUGGGAAAUUGAUUAUAUAUUUGGAACAGGACGUGAGGAGGCUCGAGCGGAAGAGGCCUCGGAUCGACAUCAGGCUUAGGCCUAAUUUGUGAGAGGACUUUUGUUUUAAAUAAUAUGCAUGCUAUGGUUCAUGGAUGAACAAUAAAUGGGAUUUUCGGUGAAUAUAAAUAUGUAUUUAUGAGGAGAGUAAGUAUAUAAAUGCUAGCUAGCCAUAUGUGUAUGUCCACCUUAAUGGCAUAGCAUAUAGCCGCAUUAUGGUGUGACGUGAGCGUUGGACGUGAGCGUAGUAGCCCUAUAUGAGUGUUUAAUUCUUAUAGGGGGUAUGGGCACAUAUUUAUACACCCGUCUGUCCACCUUAAUGGCGUAGUGUAUCACCGCAUUAAGGCGUGACGUGAGCUUUGGACGCGAGCGUAGUAGCCUUAUAUAAUUUCAUAAAAUUAUAUAGGGAGUAUGAACGUGUGUAAAUACAUUCAUAUAUAUAUAUAUGUAUAUAUAUUUUAGAGCUUGAGAAGCUCGAUAUUUAAGAGAUGAAAGUUUUAUCACUGGAGGCAUGCAUUCGAUUUUUUCCUUAGAAAUUGAAUUGGGAAAACAUAAAUAUUUUAUUUAUUCUUUUAGUCAAAUUUAUUUUUGUCCACUCACUCUAACGUUAUUAAAUGUUUUCCCCUGGGCCCUUCGUUUUAAAAUGCCAAGUCUGCAGAGUUCGGGUUGGCACUAGUAGGAGGCGAGGCGUAGUUACCCACUUUUCCACCACUUUUCACCAGUAGGUUGCAUGCUUAACCUACCAGUGUAUUUUCUUGCUUCCGCUAAUAUUAGUAGCUCUGAUUACCCUUGAGGAUAAUGUAUAUUAGCUCGGUUGUGUGCUAAGUCUUGGAUUUUUAAUUUGGAAUAUUUGAAUGUUGAAGUUUGUUAUUUUUCUAAUUGGAUAUUUAUGUGAUGGAUUAGAAGAUGGUUUUAUUGUAUUGUUGUGGUGGUUGUAUUGUGGGGAGCGGGUGGCUCCAGGGGUUGAGGUUGGACGUGUCGUUAUAGGAGUGUGGUUUGAAUUUUUUUUUCAGGUUAGGGUUGUCCAUUUUCAAGGGAGCUUAUGCCGAAUUUUUCGGUAAAUUUUCCUUGGAGGUGGUCCCCGCAAGACUUACUUUGGGUUUUAGGGUGAAAUUCAGGGUGGGUCUUAACAUUUGCAGCAUGUGAUCUCGUCACUUUAACACUUUAAGCAUUUGAGACCAAGAUGAGACUUAGUGGGGAUAAACCACGACAAUUCACGUCAUUUCACUUAAACACUUGUGUUCUUAUCUCCCCUUAACGGUGGGAAUAUUGUCUCAUCAAAGUGACAAUCUGCAAUUUAGCAGUGAAUGAGAUCGCCUGACAAGGUUUCUACAUAGGCGGAUUAUAGGUGGAGGUUUAUAUCCAACCUAAACUUAUUCAUCUCAAAUGACCCAUUAUUGUGCGCAGUGACAUUACGAUUUGACACCUAGAAAUAACAUCUAACUGAGCUCAAAGAUUGGAGAUCCGUUUUAAUCCUAUUUGAGCUCAAGGAUUGCAAUUUCGUGUCAAUCCUCGUACACAGUCACGAGCUGUAGUACAAAAAUAUUCAAUGAUGUUGGGUCGUAGAUGAAUAGUAAAGAUGAAUGCAAAUAUUGCAUAGUCCUAAGACGCAAUAAAAAGAUUGGUGUGCAUCAAUAAUGUUCAAGCGACAAGCUAAAGUUGUUUGGUCGUAGCCUCGGUGAGACCGUAUUGCGUGUGAACAUAGGGUACAAGACACUUCAACUUAUAUUCCGAUAAACUUCUUUAAAGAAUGUGUAGUGAGCCCGUAGAAAUUAAGCAUCAUAAGCAGUAGAUAAUAGUGUAACACGUGACCGGUGUGUUAACACUUCAACCAACACCAUAAAACAUAAAAAGGUGUCCGCAAGUUGGUUGUAUCUAUCUACAUAAUUUGAUGUAAGAAGGAAUUCCUUCUCUUUUGUGUUAUUUAGCAUAGGAGGGUCUCGCUCCUAAUUUAGCUAUUAAAUAGGCUUUCAAAACGAGAAAUAUGCAUUACAGAGGGUCAAUGAGACAUUGAGGGAAGACCGGUGCACCUCAAUUGCUUGAGGAAUUGACCGGACAGCCUCUGGGAAGUUGGAGCCGUGUUCGGGUGACGUCAAUGUCCCUAGGGUGCCGCUAUUUACAACCAUAGUGUCACCAUCAUGCUUCAUGGAGAAGCUAGAUCUCAAAUGUCUUCGUUUUGAGCGGAAUAAUGGAUGUCCAUGAGAAUUUCUCAAAAUUUGGACCAUUAUAUCUCUUCUAAGAUGACCGAUUUGGUCAAACCAAAGCCUAUAUGAGUCGGUGUCCCAAAUAUCAUGUUUGGCGACAACAUGUGAUUCGAUAUUCGAAUCAUAGUGACAUACAGCCCACUAGAUUGACUCAUAAACUUCUCUAAGAUGCAUUUUAGUCCACAUUCAUGAGAAGGUAUAUACAAAAGAACUCUUGUUCAUUCUUACAAUGUGUUUUCUCACAAUGUGCUUCUAAAUGAAAACUAUUAACAGGAAUGUCUUUAAAGCACAACAUGGUUCUGUUGCCUCUCAAUACAUAGAGGGCACAUCUAUGACGUUGAUCAUGGUGUCAUAAGGCAUCAAGAUGCAAGCUAAACCGCAUCUCUAAAUGACUGGUAUGAUUCAAUUAUUGUAGUCACGUACAGAAGAUUUACAAGGCACAAAAUCCAGAGAUAGUUGCCAGUUCCUUAGAAUGUUGUGGAUAGUUCAACUAUCUACGAAACACUCAAUGUCUCUAUGAGAUAGAUCUACAAAAUAAAGAAGAUAAGAGAGUAAAUAGUUUCACUUGAACCAUUUAGAGGGAUUAAAAGAAGCUACGAAAAGCUGCAAUUCCGAGAGACAUAAAAAUUCUGAGCAGAAUGACUUUUGCGCACUAAAACAGCCAUAACUUCUUCGUUAAAAUAGAUAUUGACAAACCACAAAAAGUUCUGAAAACUAGACUCGUAGAGCUUUCGAAUGAUAUAAAGUUUACUGUCUGGUUCGUCCGGAGCUAUUUACAAAGCUCAAACGAAGUUGACUAUCUAAAAGAGACAGAUUACUGUUUUUCGCAGAUUUGGCAUUGGCAAAGUUUUGAAGCUUGCAGAUGGCAUGUUGGCAUAAGCCGAAGCCAAAAUUACGUGUAUACGAUCAAAAUCAAGUCCUUUUAGUCUUUCCAAGCUAGGUUGUAAACUCUAUGACUAGUUAGAGAAAACUAACUCAGAGGACCUAGAAGAUUCGAUCAUGAUGAUGAUUGUCCGGUUUUGAUAAUUAAGUCUUCAACAUCUUUUACAAGACGACAAUUGGUUUAAUAGCGUAGGGGGAUCCAAAAUUAAAAGCUUUCGGUAACUCCAAGUCAGUAUGACCAGUCAUGUUCGUGGAGGAUCGGUAGUGCGAGGCACACUUGAAACCACUAUCUCCUUAAUUUCAGACAAUUCUGAGACAUCACAUUGAGCUUGGAUGAGCCUAGUUGAACAGUUGAUGAUGGAAAAAUCCGCUAUAGGGUAGAAGACUUAACCGGAAACACGUUAGCGAUCCUCCUUAAGGAUGCAAGGCCGUGCGUCAUCUUCACUUGGAAGAGACCAAAACGGCACAAUCUAACCAUGUAGAUUGUAAAUAUGCCAUGCUUCUAAGAAUGAUGUAAAAAUGUAUAUCUUGUUUGUAAAUCAAUACGAACUAUAAGAGGAGAAUAGUUUCAUAACUUCGAAAAAAAUCUCAAGACAUUCAUUAUUGCUAAUGUGAGUAUAUAUCAAGGUCUCGAAUAAACAAAAAACAUCGAUACGAUAUAUUAUUACGUAUAGCUUGGAAAGAAAAUCAAUGUCUAGCUAAUGACAUCAAAGUCAAGGGUAGCUAGAGCUGGAUCCGAAUCUUUGAAAUCCGCGAUCAUGAGAAUGAUGUUAUUGUCCUCAUAUUGAUUUUCCGUAUAUUUUUUGUAUGCAUUCACAAUUUGAGGAUGAGCUUGACAACUCCUCAACCAGUGAUCUGGAGAUCCACACGGUUGCAUUGUUCGGAGCUGGCAUGAGUAGUUUUGACAAAUUGAUGUCUAGACCGGGAUUGUUCAUCACUAAAAUGACACAGUGCGUGGUUUGCACAUAGGGGCUCAUCAUGAAAUUUAAUAUCUGCAAAGUUAAAACAAUAUCAACAGAGCUAGACGGUUUCUAAUAUGUCUUACCUUAUUUAGUUAUAUGAUCAAAUUCAUAAACUAAGCAAUAGCUAAACAACAUAAGAAAAUUGACAUUAAAACAUUGAAAAAUCUCAUUGCGUAUCUAGCCAUACACAUUAAUAUCUUUGUGUAGUGAUACGUCUCAUAUAAGCUCUACAAGAGCUCUAAGUAAUUUAUAAUUUCAAAAGUUAGAAUAUGUAGCAAUAUAAUGAUCAUAAUUCAAAUUAGAUUUUGUAGUCCGAUCAUAGUACUCAUUGAGGCAAUUUCUAUCACGUUAGCUAUAACAGAAUGAGUAUAUAUGAGCUAACGUUAGACUAUUUGAUUCCAUGAAUUAGCUUCAGGCUCUCUCAUGUAUUCAUGGAUCGAAUUACAUUAGAAUCAUUCAUGUACUUGAAUCCUUUAAAGAUCUAACAAGCGAUACGCUUGUAAUGACACCUCAUUUUUAGGAAUUUUUUUUAGCAACGUGUCUUUUAUGAUCCUCAUAAUAUACAAUGACAAAUGUCGUAAAUCUCUCGUCAAUAACAACUAUAUCUAUUAUGUAACAUUGUAUUUAUAGAAAACUAUCACCUAUAAGGAAAAAUAUUCAUAAUCCCCAUGUCUCUUGUAGACAUUAUAUCAUAGUGAUUUAUUUUCACUAUGAUCAAUACUCUUUUGUAUCAUGUAGGGCUAAAGGUCAAAGUAUUUCAUCAUGUUUCAAAUAUUUAGUUUCAUUGGAAUUACCUCUUUUCAAUUUGACCAAUAUUAUGCUUUGUCGACGUGCAUAAUAUGCUUUGUGGCAUAGCAUCGAUUAAUACAGUCCAUAAUAGUCUUUGGUAGCUACCAUUGUAAACUUUGAUAGAUGAUCAUUAUUCAUAGAUCCAACACAUUCUUAUACGCUUGCGUUUGAUUUUUGGGUAUUCAUGCCACUUCUGGGGAAAAUAUUGUCACUUCAAGGACAUAUAUCUAGCGAAUGUGGAUCUUUUACUUGUAAUAUCACAUAGAGCAUUAUAGGACAUGUAUAAUCUUUCUUUUUCAGGAGCUUAAAACUUUAGACUUGGUGGAUACAUUUCACGUAAAUUCACGCCGUUAUUCAAAUGACUCCCUAAUGGCGGGAAGACUGUCGUUAUGACCAUCCACAAAUAUGCAUUUAAAGCUCUAUCACUUUCUUUCGAGUGAGAUGUUUAUUGGCUGGUGGCGAACCUAAUUAAACCAAGUAUGAGGUCAAAAAUAUUAUAUUCAUUAGUAUCAACCAAGAUAUCAUUCUCUAAUGGCGUACCUAGCUACAACCUUUGAAUGUAUAGCCGUAUUAGGAACUCUAACAUUGUACCAUGACAUUCUUUUCAGGAUAACUAUGUCACUUGGAUACACAUGCAUCCCACAAAUCAAAUGGGGUAUAGACUAUUUGAGUUAAUAUGGAUGAUCUCAUAGACUUUGAUCCAAGCAGAAAACAGUGCAUCUAGCAUAUAUAUACUUUUCUCACAAUCUUUUAUCAAAUCACUAAUUGAUGAUACAUUUCUUAAAAUCAAAAUGAGAUGGUGGUUAAACAACCCACACCAAUGUACAUCGUUCAUUCAGGAAAAAUCUCUCUCCCCGUCAUGACGGGAGGAGUGUCUCAUAAGGUGGCCACGUAAUUGCAAAGAGUAUACUCAUACUCGUGCAUCAUAAAUUUAGACCAAUAGUUAGAUAUCUCUUAUCUAUAAUAUGACUCCCCCUCAAAACUCCGGGUUUGAGGUUGGCAACAUUAAAACUUCAAGAUAAAUUAUCCAAAUAUAUUCACUCGAAACUUAAGCCUUGAGUUUGCACAGUUAGAACUCCAAGUUCUAAGGUGGAGUGAACAUCUAGGUUACACUAAUUUGUAUUUUAUACUCGAAGCUUCGAGUUCGAAUUUUUACUAUUAGAACUUCAGGUUCUACAAUACAAUAUUUUGAACUUAUGGUUCAAGAACAUGACAUUUGAAAUUCAUUUAUUCAAUAUAUAGGGCUGUUAGCCCAUAUGAAUAACAAUAAAAUUUUCACAAUAACACUAGUGGAAAAAAUCACUUAGCCGACGGAACAAUAAUAUUUUCGUCGCCUAAGAUCUACUUAGCCGACGGAAAACCUUCCGUAGCCUAAGUUUUCAGCUAGCCAAUGGAAAAAUAUUCCGUCGGCUAAGAAGAUCUUAGGCGACGGAAAUUUUUACCUAGCCGACGGAACAUUUAUAUAUAAAUAUAAAUGAUUAUUUAUGAUAACUUAGGCGACGAAAAAUUAUUCUGUCGCUUAGGUUAUAUCUUAGUUGACAGAAAUAUCUACUUAGUCGACAUAACCAAAUUAAAAAAAGAAUUAAAAAUUUUUGGCGGGAUAACUGCCGCUUAAAUAUUUUGAAUUUAGGCGACNNNNNNNNNNNNNNNNNNNNGGCGGCAACUCCUCCUACUCCUCUUCUCGCGGCAUCUCCUCCUCCUCCUCCUCCAAGCAGCGUCUCCUCCUCCUCCUCCUCCUCCUCCUCGCAGGGUGGUUGACGUCCGGACGGUUACUCUCCGCGGUAUAAGUAAGGCAGUAGAUCGUCGUACGUGCGGUUCCUUGACGGUAGAAUCCCGGUGAGUUUAGCGUCGGAGGUGGAGUGGAGUUGUUCGGGAACACGCAAACAUAACCGUCGUAGUCGCCGGAGAAGAGGAAGAGAAAGGAAAAAAAAAAAAGACCUAAAAAAACGAAAAAAAAACUGCCAGUUAUUCUAAAAAAAAAAAUUUUAAUUUUUUACUUCCGUCGACUAAAAUCUUGGCAGACAGAAAUAUUUAGUCGACUAAGUUCCACUUAGCCGACGGAAUUGAUGAUUCUGUCGGCUAUUGUCUUAGCAGACGGCGCUUAGCAGACGAAAAUUCCGUCGGCUAAGAUUUUUGCAGACGAAAUAUAUGUCUUAACCGACAGAACGGUCCGGUCGGCUAAUAGCCAUAAUCCAGUGGUGUAAGAACAGUAAUGAAAUUGCAUAACAAAAUAAGAAAACUGUAGAGAGAGAAAAUAAAUAAAUUUUACAUUGAAAACUUCUGGUUCUAUGAAUGAAGAAAAUAUACAGAGCUUUUGGUCUGAUUAACUUCACAUAUAUGAUGAUCUUGUUUAUUUCAUCUAAUUGUAUGUACGAGAACAUAACAUCGUAAUAAAGUGAGGAGCUUCAUCCCCCUAUAUGAUUAGGGAUCACAAGAUGUGGUUUCAAUGAAUAUUUCAUAACUAUAAGGAACUUGUGGCCCCUAUUAACUGCAUAAGUUUUGCGAAACAUCAUAUCACAAUUUCGAUUAUAUUACUGAUGAAGAACUUCAAGCCCUCUAUAUUUCAAUCAAGAGACUUCAGGCUCGAUCUAAUUCAUAACUGAAUUCAAAUGACAGAUAAACUACAAGAUAUAAUCGAUGUGCAAAUAUAGAUCAUAUUCCACAAUGCAAAGGAAUUAACACAUAAACAUGAUUUCCAACAUAUAUAUCUGGCAAACAAUAACAAACAUGUGGACUAACAAAAUCAAAAUAUAUUGAAGCCAUAAAUUUGCAAUGAGUUUCAAAGUAAAAGGGUUAGAUAAGAGUACAUAUAUAUCAAGAGAAGAAUGAUCAGAUUAAUCAUUCUACGAUUUGAGAAUAUCAAUUUAAUAAGCCAAACAAUUAAUAAAAGAUUAAUAAAAAGAAACUCAUAUAUCAAGAGUUUAUGGCCAAGCAACAAAGUCACCCCAUAUGACUCAUAGAUCAUCAUAGAGUACAACAAAAGAAAAUUGUGCGAUGGUGCAAAGGUGAACGACAAAGAAACAAUUUUGGAUUUUCUAAGGUUGAUCAUUAUCAACUCAAAGGUAGAAGACACAUAGAGAACAGUUGGGAGAAUGUAAAAGUGUUCUCAUUCAUUCUGAUUAGCCUCCUUAUAUAGAUAUAGGGUUUACAUCACAAUACAUAACAAAUGAGUAAUUACGUGGACAACCAUAUAAAUUAUAAUAUUUAUAACAUCACCCUCAUUACUAAUAUAAUGAUAAUAACAAAAUCCAAUCCACAAAUAUAUUGUUUUUCAGUAUCAAUAAAUCAUCAAAAAGUGAUUAAUUUGUAUAUCAUAACAAUCAAAGCCAGUAUGAAGGAGAUUAAGCAAGAAUAAUAUUUAUUCGAAUCAUCAACACCUGUUUUCUAUUCUUAAUCUGCUUGAAGUUCCUCUCCUUCCUUCUUCAACCAAAGCACUACGAGCUGACAUAAUCCCAGUAGGAAACAAAGUAUCAUCAAAAGUAGUACAAUCAACCCAGUCCUUGAGAAACUCCUCCUGGCCCCAAAUAUCCGGAAUCCAGACCCGACCCGCCACCUCAAUCCGGUGCCUCUUCAACCUCUCACGUCCACUUUCUUCUGCUACUGCCAACACCUCAUAACACCCUCUACUGGGUUCUUCUGCUGCACUCACUUGAGAUGAAGCCACACCUAAUAUUGUGAUCUCCUCAUUUCUUGACUGACCUAACUUGAUCUCAUCUUCAUGAUCUUGAUCGAUCUCUUGCUCGGUAGUAGUAGUACCAUUCUGAUACUGAGGGAUGAUGCUUUCUUUGGUCUGAAGCAAUGGAAAAGAAGGGCUAGUUUGGUCGUUGGGAACCAAAGAAAGUUGAAGCUGGUGAGCCAUUUUCAGUAGGGCUGGCUUUUCUAUCAUGCAACAGACAACAGUACGUGGUGGGAAUGGAGGCUUUUCUUUGCUGCUACUGCUACCAGCUGAUUCAGCUUCUUCUUCUUAUUGUGCUUGUUUGCUCAGCUCAAUCUUUUUGGUAUGUCUGUGUUGUCUCUAGUUUGAAGAAGGGUUCAUGGAGAUAUAAGGUAGGGGGAGGGAGGGAGGAAGGUGAGGGUUCUAAUCGCUUUGUGUGUGUUAAUAAUGCAAAGCAAGAAUGGGUGGGGGCUUAGUUUACACGUCCACCUUUCAAGCCUUUUUUGUAUGGUAAGUGACAAAUGUACGUGUCUUGGUUCAGAUUUCAGUCCAAUUUGUGUGGCUCUUUACUUCUUGAUUGGAAACACACAGAAAAGCAAUAGAAAACGAGAGCCAGGCUUACUAUGUGUAUAUAUAUUCUAAUUUUAACACACAGAAUAUAUAUAAAUCGAUGGGUGCUGAUAUAUGUUGAAUCGACUUUUUCUUAUUGUUGAUCUUGUGUUUAUAUACUGUAUUACAGCAUUUUAAAAUUUGUUAAGUUUUUUUUUUCCUGUUAUUUAUGGAAAAUAUAUUUUAGAGUUAUUGUGUGGGAACUCAAGAUUUUCUUAGUUUUGGAUUGUCAUUUUUUUCUUAGACUUUAGGGUUUUAGUUUUUUUGGAGCGUCAGUUACAGUUAGUAGUCGUUUAGACUUUAGCAUCGAUCAUGUAAAAUGAUGAGAGAGCUUCGUAUUCGCUCGAUCAUGAGUUCAUGAGUGAAGUUGUAUGAAUUUUAUACUAUAUUCAUCUUCCUUCGCCCUACAAAAACAUUCAAUUACUAAAUCAACAAUCAUCAUAGAUAUAAACAGAUUCUUUUCUUAAUUACAGACCAAAAAGAAAAAAGAAAAAAGAAAAAUAAACAGAUUAUUUCUUCAGUUUCUGGGAUUUUGAAGGAUUGUGAGGUUGAUUUUGAUUUGGUUCAGCGUUUGGCCACUAGAAUUGUGGUAUUUUAUUUGGGGGAAUAAUAUAUUCAUGAAAAUUUGAACACAGUUUGGUUGUAUUCAAUACAAUGUGGUUUUUGGAUGGAGACUUUCUGGGGUUAACAAAAAGAUAUUUUAUGAUGUUCAUCAUGGCCACUAGCAGCUAGCCCAUGGUUUUCAAUUUCCCUCUCAUUGAAAUUUAUGUCGAUCUCUAUCAGACAACCAAGUUGUGUAUGAGUCCUAUAAUGUCAAUCCAUACAUAUACACAAGACAACAGUAUAUACAUGUAUUCUGUAUCAAUGCAUAUAUAUGUUCAGAACUUGUCUAUACAGUUUGAUUUGUUAUAUAAACUAGUUAUAAGAUAAUUCAAGUUUUAUUUGUUAUUGUGUCUUAUAGACGAGGAGGAGAGAACAAAUUCAAUCUUGAGCCUUGAAAAUUUUUAAGUAUUCCCAGUGUUGUGAAUUUGCCUUUAGCCCCCAAGCUUACAAGGGUGAUCUUCAUUAUCCGUUGAAUGCGUGUCUCGUUGCAAAAUAAUGAUACAAAGUAAGGAAAUGAGAGUGAAUGAUUGAAUGCUGUGUGUUAUAACUUGUAAGCAUCACAAUACCUAUUGCCUAACUGUUGAUAUAUGAAUUUCAUAUCGGAAAAAUGAGACUUGUUUAUAAGGUUUUAAACCACUCCACUCAUUACCAAUUAGUCUUGGAUGUGAACCUCAGACUACUCUAUCAAAAUGCUCAAAUAUAUAUGGGGGAAUCUAUACCUUUCAAGGGAAAUUGAAUAAGGAUACACUAGUACUCAUACGGUCAUACCAGCUUGAGAUAUUCUCUGAAAUGGUAUUAUAGCAAACACUUGCCAUAACCACAUAAUGUUUGUUCCUUUGUUCCAACAAGCCAAGUUGGCCACAAGGUAAAGCACUAGAAACACAGAACAAGAUUGAUGAGAUAUGUAGCCACCAACCACCACUUAUGAAAUUGAUCUAUGAAAGAGGUUGAAUAACAGAGACCACUCAUCAUUUUGGUGAGCGAUGGAGAUCUUGACAUGCUAUAUAAUCUACCACACACUCCUAAUUUAGGAAAUAAAGGGCUAGCUUCAGGAGAUGGUCCAGAGCUCCCCAUCUGGGAAAGGAAAUUUACACAAAGGUCCAUUAGCUUAGCCUUUGUCAAUGGUCUGGUAUGAAGCAUUGGGCAAUGGUCUGGUAUGAAGCAUUGGGCCAAAUAAUCGUUUUUUUUUUUAAUGAGGAUUUGGAGUGGUUUUAUUAAGUACGAAACUUUGAACUAGAAGAUUGCAAGUCUAAUGUAAAUUGGGCUAAGCUACCCCAUAUCAUAGAUGUGAAGGUCAGAGAUUCGUUGCUACUUAUCAAGUUAGGUGAAUAUAGCUUCCAGAUUUACGUAUGUGUCAAUAGAUUAAGUGGGUGAACAUUUUGAUAAGUAAAUAAAGAUGAUUGACAAAUUUGUAUCUCAAUUUUACGAUCAUCUCAUUUUAUUAUAUUUACAUAGAAGUUUUGAAGUAAUAACAUAUCAUCAGUCCAAACAUAUUCUCAAUAAUACUGUUUGGUCAUGACACACAAAUGAAUUCAUGAUUUCCAUUUUUUACGUAGAAAUGCCAUAAAAUUUCAUUUGCACCCCGUCUCUUUAUGAGUUUUCAAACCUUGCGCCGUUUUGGCGGCCAAAUUCUGAAAGAGGAGUCCACAUCCACCUUGGCUCAAGUAAUCCAAACCUACGCAAAAACCAAGCAGCUACACAAAGGCAAGCAGCUCCACGCUCACCUCCUACGCUCUCAUUACCCACUAUGCAUUUUCCUAACCAACCACCUCCUCAACAUGUACUCCAAAUGUGGCCACGUCGACUACGCCCUCAAGGUUUUCGACGAAAUGCCUCACAGAAACUUGGUUUCCUGGACUGCCAUGGUAACCGGGUUUUCGCAGAACGCGAGGUUCUCGGAGUGCUUCAAGGCCUUUUCGGAGAUGAGAAGAGCUGGGGAGAGCCCGACCCAGUUUGCAUUUGCGAGUGUGAUUAAAGGUUGUGUGGUUCUUGGGUCGGUUGAGAUGGGGAGGCAGCUGCAUUGUCUUGCUUUGAAAUUGGGUUUGUCUUGUGAGUUGUUUGUGGGGAGUAACUUGGCGGAUAUGUAUUCGAAAUGUGGGGUGAUGGUUGAUUCUUGUAGGGUUUUUGAGGAGAUGCCGUGUAAGGAUGCUGUGUCGUGGACUUCGAUGAUUGAUGGGUAUGCAAAGAGUGGGGAGUUUGAGGCGGCUUUAGUGAGUUAUAAGAGAAUGAUUAAUGAUGGGAUUGGUGUAGAUAAAUAUGUUGUUUCUAGUGCAUUGAGUGCUUGUUCUGCACUGAGGGAUUGUCAGUUUGGAAAGUGUGUUCAUUCGACGGUUGUGAAGUUGGGAUUGGAAGUGGAGGUGGCUGUGGGAAAUGCUCUAGUUGAUAUGUACUCGAAAUCAGGAGAUAUGGAGAGUGCUUCAAAUGUGUUUCGGAUUGACCCUGAGCGGAGAAAUAUUGUGUCGUAUUCCUCUCUGAUCAAUGGUUAUGUCGAGAUGGAUGAAAUCGAGAAGGCUUUUAGUGUGUUUGUGGACUUACAGAGGGAGGGAGUUGAGCCUAAUCAGUUCACUUUCUCUAGCUUGGUCAAGGCCUGUGCCAACCAAGCAGCACUUGAACAAGGGAUCCAACUUCAUGCUCAGGUGGUCAAGUUUAAAUUUGAUAGAGACGAUUUUGUGGUUUCUGUUCUUGUUGAUAUGUAUGGAAAAUGUGGGUUGCUUGAUCAUUCAAUACAAGUGUUUAAUGAGGUAGCCACUCCGACUGAAGUAGCAUGGAAUUCGUUGUUAAGUGUAUUUGCAGUUCAUGGCUUAGGAAAUGAUGCCUUGAAAACUUUUAGUAGAAUGGUCCAAGCAGGAGUGAAACCAAAUGCAAUAACAUUUGUCAGUCUUUUAACAGGGUGUAGCCAUGCUGGAUUGGUAAAGGAAGGUUUAAAGUACUUUUACUCCAUGGAGAAAACAUAUGGAAUAGUACCUAGAGCUGGACAUUACUCUUGCAUUAUUGAUUUACUUGGCCGGGCUGGAAGGCUUGAAGAGGCAGAAGAAUUUAUUAACAGCAUGCCAUUGCAGCCAAAUGCUUUUGGGUGGUGCUCUUUUCUCGGUGCUUGCACAAUCCAUGGUGAUAAAGAGAGGGGGAAACUGGCAGCUGAGAAAUUGAUACAGCUCGAACCUGAGAACAGUGGAGCACAUGUUUUGCUUUCAACUCUGCACGCGAAGGAGAAAAAAUGGGAUGAUUUCAGAAUUGUGAGGAAGAUGAUGAGAGACAGCAGCAUGAAGAAACUGCCCGGUUAUAGUUGGGUUGAUGUUGGAAACAAAACACACACAUUUGGAGCCAAGGAUUGGUCUCAUUCUCAGAAAAAAGAAAUAUAUGAGAAACUUGAUAGUCUUCUUGAUCAGAUAAAGAAAGUUGGGUAUGUUCCAAAUACAGAUCUUGUUCUACAUGAUAUGGACGACAAUUCAAAGGUAGAGCUGCUUCACCAUCAUAGUGAGAGGAUAGCCAUUGCAUUUGCACUGAUAAGUAUGCCUGCCGGGAAGCCAAUCAUUGUGAAGAAAAAUAUAAGGGUGUGUUUGGAUUGCCAUUCUGCAAUCAAGUACAUCUCCUUAGUUGUUGGAAGGAAGAUUAUUGUUAGGGAUAAUACCCGGUUUCACCAUUUCGCAGAUGGCUUGUGUUCAUGCGGGGAUUACUGGUAAAAGUUUUGAAGGCCAAAGUUUUGUGAAGGAACUCAUACAAAUGUUUUCUGCCGGGUUACUUAAAGCUAAUCUGUACCAAACGACUAUUCUGAUAUGAGAGCCUAUUCGGCGCAUCCGGGUGCGCGGCGCACCCGUCGUCUCCACCGUUAAUUUUUUUUUUUUUUUUUUUUUUUUUGGCGGGUCAAAAUGGACGGUGGAUACAACCGGGUGCGCUGUAUAAUUUUCAGUCAUUAUGAAUGAGUGAGGAGAUUUUAGCUUUGAUUUAAAAUCGUGUAGAAGCGGAAUAACCCUGGAGCCUUUGUCUUGGACUUGGGAAGAAGUUAUUGCAUUUCUUCAUCCAUCGGAUUCUUUAGCUCAAUUAGUUCAGUGUACAAAAAAGAAAAGUGAUUUAGGUAGCCAUUGUCAGGUGAUAUAUGUGAUUCGAUUCUUUGAUCGACAAGGUUUGAAGGCAUAUAGAGACAGGUAAAAAUUUUUUUUUUUUUUCUGAAUAAUGCUGAAUGUUGAAGGCAUGUUUGAAUGGAACCAAACACUCCCCAGGUUUGAAGGCAUGUUGAACCAGUAAAAAUGCCGACUGUUACCCGAUACCCAUCAAUUACUUCUGCUUUGCAGAGAUGUAAACGGCCUCUAAUUCUGGAAGAUAAUAAAUCAAGCUCAGAUUAAAAUCAGAUAUUAAGUAACAACAAAGAAGAAUUUUCUCUGAAGCAAAGCCAUUCAUGCUUCUCCACAAGUUCUAUCUCACUUUCUAGAUGGAAAACUCUAUACACGCCCAUGGCUUUUAUUCAAAUAUUCCGGGAACAAAAGAGAGAACAUAGACAUAAUACUCAAAACGAGUGUGCACUAAUAUAUGAAGGCUAGAAACCACUACUAAGUACUAACAAAUGACAUAUCGAGGAUCUAUCAUCUAGUAUCUACAGAGGCAUACUUAAAUCCCUCAGAUUGAUGCUGAUGUGGUAGUGAAGAGGCUGAGAGGCCUCAGACAAGGCACUCAUGGGACUAAAGAGGAAGCAUUUUAAACUCUUGGAUAACGUGAGCGACCUUUCUUCUUCAAGAAAUCAGGAAUCUCAACUGCACUGCCCUCUGUGAAGGAGGAAGGUCUUCGAUUGAUUCCAAGAGUAACAUCUCCUUGUGCCUGCAAUUUGGUAGGUUAAUAAAAAUGUCGAGAGAGACUUAUGCAGAAAGGGAAAGAGACAGCUAUAAGGAAUACCUGGAGUGGCCUCCCAUCACUUUCCUCUUGGCGUUUGAAACCAGUAGCAAUUAGAGUGAUACUAACCUGAAUGAAACCAAACCAACAACAUGAUAUUUUAUAGGUUUUCAUACUGAACUACCACCAGAUAUUAGGAUAACCAGAAGUCCAGAACUAUAUAUCUUCUAUUUACUAAAUAUGCCUUUAGAGUUUAGAUGCAUAAAUGCAAUUCUUCACUCGGUACCACUUUUCCUGGCCAGUGAAAUUUCAGAUAGAAAGGACCAAGUAAAAGCAUAUACAUAUUGAUGGGGUUCUCUCCCUCAUGAGUACUUUAAAAACGGUUGGAUAACUUGUAAAAAACAAAUAUUAAUGAAAUAAAAUAAAAUCAACACUCAUCCAACCGUUAUUUAAAAGGCUAAUGGAGUCCUCACAAGAACUCAUACAUCAAUUGGAUUAUCCUUUAUCUUAUUCGUUAAAUUACUGGCACAGUGAGAUAUUAUGGGGUGAACUAACGCAGCUGUGAUCCAGUCAUACUGUGCCAAGGGUAGGAUUGCAGACUUUAGAGAAAGCAACAAAACUUACUUGACCAGUGAGUGAUGGAUCUGUCACUGCUCCAAAUAUUAGAUUUGCUGUUGGAUCUACAAGAUCAUAUAUAACCUCUGCGGCAGCAUUGACCUAUAACAUCCAAAAUUAGAGUUUACCAGAAGAGAAAUGUCUCAAUCGACUGUAAAUGAAAUCACUACUUAAAGAAUUCAGUAGAUGGGGGAAUAAUCAUAUUGGAAUGCAGGUAGUUCUGGUAAGGAAGUUUUAUCCCAAUCAGAAGAAAUGGUACCUCAUAGAGUGUCAAAUCAGUUCCACCAGUUAUGUUCCACACAAUUCCAGUUGCCCUCUCUAUACCAAUAUCUAAUAAAGGUGAUUGAAUGGCAUUUAAUGCAGCAUCCCUAGCCCUUGUCUUCCCUGUUCCCAAAAAGGAAGGACAAAACAAAAGCACACAGACAAUUAGCUCCUGUUAGAAAAAAAAGAGGGUUAAAUGACUUGCAAAAGGAAAUAGGCUCUGAUUAAAUAAACUGCUAAAUGCACAAGUCAACCACAUGACAAAACUACGUAGUAUACAUAACUAACUGGACAUGUUAAAUAAGGCAGAAGUGCAUAUAUAUGAUAUAUCUUGAAAAGCAUCCAAAGCAAUUUCACUUCAUCUUUAUGAACCUCGAUGUACAUAUUUUGUGCAAAUCCUACGACUAAUAGCUACUUGACACACAGAAUUUCAGUCAAUUUUUUUUCUAAAAUUUUCCAAAACAAAACAGAUGUAAAGUUUUGCCUUGAACAAGAGUCAGAUCUCACAAGCAUUAGAGAACAUGCAUCUAGAAGAUGGGAUUGGUUACCACCAACAAGCUUAAACAUGUAUAAGGACUUUGAUUUCUCUAUAUAUUGAUAACAUAGUCAUUACAAAAUCAAACCUAUUGCCAUGCACACUCCAAAUUACAGGACAUGGAGACUGCAAUUAAAACUACUUAGGACAUCUAUAACACUAACAUAUCAUUUUCAGUAAAAAUAUUAUCAGCCAAGGGCACUUCCCCUCUUUCAUAAGCAUCCAGUAGCUCAUCAAACAAACAUUUCUCUAAGCUUAUCCUGAAGAUUAUUGAGGACCAGUUCAAAAAAUUUGGGAUUAGAUCACUUUCCUCCCCAUACACUAACCCGAUAGACUGAUCUUGGUAUUCAUUCAUAACAGUAAUUUUCCCAAGGUUAGCCACAAUGAUGCCAUCAAGGAAGGCACUGGUAAUUAGGUUCCAGCACAAUCAUGUCUAAAAUCAUACGUAAAGCCUAUGACUCUGACCAUAUUAGCACUGAUUACAUUCUAGUUAGUAGAUCAGAAAUUACCAGUUGCAGUUCCUAUCCCCAUCAAUGACGAACCUGCAUUUGCCAUUAUAGCCCUUACAUCAGCAAAGUCGACGUUUACCAGCCCGGGAAUCUGCAAUUAAGGUGAUGACUAUCAACUAGUGUAACAAAAUAUAAAUAAGGAAAUAGGACAUGAAAAUACAAAUGAUCAACUAAGUAAUUAUGGAACUGCAUUGACCUAAAGAUGAUAUUCCAAGCAUAUAUCAAUGCAAUGCUCAUAAAUUCCGUUAAUCAAUUCAAUAAGUCUGAAAUAUAUGAUAUCACUGUCAGUAUAUUCACAACUUGGUACCAGUUUUAGAAAUAAUAAUAUUUUAGAAUAAUGAUAAGAGUGUUUAGUAUAUAUAUUUAGAACUACUUGUGCGCUUACGAUGCACACAUUAGGGAAAGCAUUGAGAUGCCUAUCUAUCAAGCACUCUUAAUGGAUGUUCUUCAGCAUUCAUUCACAUCUUCCUCUUAAAAGUUUUGUUUGCUUACCUUUUAUAGUCUAAUUAUACUUUACUUCACAUCAAUAUAAAGUUCAUAAUUACAACAUCAUCAAAAUCACAUACCGUAAUUAUAUCAGAGAUACCACGAACACCUUGUCGAAGAAUAUCAUCAGCUAAAUUAAAUGCCUCUGUUACUGGAGUAGACUGGGAAACUGCAGUCAACAACUUGUCAUUUGGAAUGACUAUCAGUGUGUCGACAUUCUCUCUCAAAGCUGCAAUCCCUUCCUGAGCUUGAACCGCCCGUUUUCGUCCCUCAAAAGAGAAAGGAGUUGUCACAACACCAACCGUCAGGAUCCCCAUUGAUUUUGCAACACCUGCAACUACAGGAGCUCCACCAGUUCCAGUUCCUCCACCCAUUCCAGCCUGCGUGUAAUUUAACGUCAAAUACAGAAUAGCUUGAAUAAGUUUGGUAACAGCACAGAGUGGCCAAGGUUGGGAAUAUAGAACACAAAAAACAAAAUUUGAGUUUACCGUAACGAAAACCAUGUCUGACCCAAAUAAUGCUUCUUCUAUUGAUUCUCGACUUUCUUUGGCAGCAUUCAUACCAACAUCCGGGUUUCCACCAGCUCCAAGACCCCUGGUAAGCUCUUGACCAAUUUGUAAACGGUUCUCAGGAAAAACAGGCGACAUUCUCAUGGCUUGAACAUCGGUGUUAACAAUCCAGAACUCCACACCCUUCAUUGCACUCUCAAUCAUACGAUUGACUGCAUUUGACCCUCCACCACCAACACCAAUAACUUUAAUUUUUGCUUCAUUGUAAUUAUUCGGAGAAGAUUUGUCACUCAAGCUCUCAGUCACACUCCCACCUGGAGUAUCUUUCCUCAGAUUGCUUGACGUAUUAUUCCCCUCACCUCUGAGCAUAGACACUUCCGGGUGUAGAUUCAGAAAAGGGUCUUUAUUCGGAUACGAACCCACACUGUGAGAGUUUUUGAAUUGAUUCAAAUUCAACUUAUGGACUGCACCCACAAACCCAAACUUCCCCUCAGGCAGCAUUCUCACACUUCUAACUCUUUCGAAGUGAUUCCCCACUAACAAUCUCCCUCCAACUCUAGUUAGAACCCCAACCGGGUUCCGAGUAUCCGAAAAAGUAAAAUGUGUCGAUGCAUAUGUCGCCAUCCUAUAGUGGCGAAACUCAAACCCACAGACUUGCUAAACUGCUAAAUGGCAAUAAAUUCAGAGACCCAAGUGCCUUAAAAACCUCAAUUCCCACCACAAUUCAGCACCUGUUACAGAAAACCCAGAUAAUUCUAAGAAACCACACAACACAGCAGAUUAAUAAUAAAGUUUAAACAUUGGACUAAAGCCAAAUCAAAGAGAAACCCACUAACCUAAAUAACACGCACUACAAUACCCAGAUAACAAUUGCGCAAAUUCAAUGAAGUAUGAAGCUAACAGCUGAUAACAAAUCAGACCCACCAAGCAGAAAUGCAAAACAAGCAAGAGGCAGAGAGAAGGGUUACCUGGGGUUUUAGAGGUGAGAGGAAUCUGAGAUAGAGAGAGACCUAGAGAAGAGAGGCAACAAAAUUGGGAAGAAGCAUUUGGGGGAGUGGAGCCCAAAGAGUGUGUGUCACUCAGGUUUGGACUGAUGAAGUGAUGAUGAUAAUGAAAUGAUCAAAAAUUAAAACAAAGAUCUGGUGAAAGGGGAGAGCACAAAUAGCGAUUGGGGUAUUUUGGAAUCUUUAGGGAGACCAUGUGGGCUCUCUUCUCUUGAAAACAACAUCAUUGUUGUGAACUGAGUCAUAAACCCCUUAUUAGCUGGUAACCACUUUUCAAAUGCUUCCAAAUUUGUGAACUAUUUGGGCCCAAAUAAUUACAGCCCACAUUAUAAGAGGAGAUGCUAUCUAGUAUCUACAAAGAUGUCCAAUAAGUUUGAUAAGUUACUAGUUAAUGAAAUUGUGAAGGAACAUGUAAUGUUAGCUAGUUGUAGAGGAAAAAAGUUUCCAUAAAUUGACUCAAACAGCUGAAAACUGAAGCUCGAAAGCUUAGAACAUCGUCAUGGGAGAUAAAAUUUGUAUUUGACAAUUUUGAUCAUAAAACUUCCAAAUGUUGUGUCGAACUAUACUAUUUUGUUUAGGGGACACCAUUGGAUUGGAGUUAAACAUGCUGGCUGUCAAAUUUGUCCAUUUCUUCAACACCAAAGCAAUUGGAGAGUCUGAAUAAAAGCCUAAAUGGUGCCCUUAUUGCUUCUCAUCAAGGUGAUAUUGAAGGUUGGGCAACAUCUGCUUUUCAUUCUUAAUCUUUCCAGUUGGUUGGAAGAGAAAAAUGGGCGUCCAAUCCUAUGAGAAUAAACUUUUGGGGCUUCUAAAUGCAGCAGCUUAGGACUUCUGGAAAUAGUGGUUUUCACUAGUACAUCUGAGAUAUCAGGUUGCAUAUAAAAAACCAUCUGCCUCAUUGUCACGGCCUAGCCUGCAUAGCUCAUAAUGUACCCUGCAUAGCUCAUUAUGCUAUCAGCCUUCUGCUGAUGAAACAUAAAACAUUGGAAAAGAACUAUCUAAGAUCCAGUACUAGGGCAUAUCAAGUACUGUCAUCGGCUAGAUAACCAUAAACAAACAGCAUGAAGGAAGAAAAUCCAAACAAUGAUAGCACAGCACACAAUCCAAUCAAUGAUAGCACACCACAUAUUCUAAAAGUCGAUUUAUUCCACAAUCAUCAUCGCCAUACAACCUCUAUACAAUUCCCCAGAAUUAUCAACUACAAUAUAGACUAGAUUAUCAAACUAAGUAGAGUCAUAUAAUGCACCAAAGAAUGAUGUAACAAAACCAUAGUGUACUACACUACGCUAACUCCACAAAAAUGAACUUCAGCUAUGAUGAGAGUUGACUACUGAUGACGCUAAUUCUAAAGAGUAAAGACAUCUUCAGCAAGAUAUGAAGUGCAGUCAGCAACACACAAGUUUGCUAAAUCAAAGUUGCUAUCACCAGUAGGUGAUAUAUUCACAGCCAUUUAUCACCAGAAGGUGAUAGUUUCACUGCACAUCAUCACCAGAAGGUGAUUGCUUCGUUGCACAUCAUCACCAGAAGGUGAUUGUGGUCAUCACUGCAUGGGUUAGAAAAGUAUCACCAAAUAGUGAUAACUUUUACUGUAGAGGGUCCUCUUUGUCCAAACUCCUUUUCUCCUCAACGCAUUGACAUCAAAGUCCGAACCUUUCUUUCCCUCUCUGCCUUCUUAGCACUCGGGGUCCUCUUCAGCCUCUGAAGUUCUUCCAACACCACCUUCUCAACUUUGUCAAUGGAGUUCAGCAGCUUCUUCUGUGGUGUAAGAAACUCUCCCUCAUCAGGCUGAUUGGCCACCUCUAGCAGAACUUUGUGCACUUUAAGAACAGAAGGUGGGCGAGGUCUCUUCUUAAUGGUUGAUGGAGUGGCAGCAAGGACUUGAUGCUCAGGAGGAGCAUCCUGACCAUGUAGAGACGGAACUUGAACCUGUGCAGUAGAGCCAUUCUCCUCACCCAAGCGAGAUCUUCUCCUCUCAAUGGCCUACACAGAAAGUACAGUGUAAGGCUCUUAAUAAACAUAUUCUAUAGAUACAUAGUGGCUGACAAUAAAUCAUGUUAUGAGAAUAAUUAAAAUGAGCUAGUUUCAUAACUGACAACAGAAAACCAAAAGGUAUGUUUCAUUAGCACAGUGUAAUUACGAACCAAUUAAUAGAGUUGAAACAUAAAGCUUCACCAGAUUUUUCACAUGUCCGUCCCUUUGGAAAUUAAGUUAAGGCCAGACGAAGUUAUAGCAUUAAAGAGAGGCAUAACAUUAAAAGAGUGAACUUUACUGAGCAAUAGUAUUUCUUAUUUAAGAACACUAAACAUCAGCAGUAGAAGCAGGUUUGAUAACGAAGGUAUGUAGUUAUGAACCAAAUGACACUAAUUGUUUCUCAAUUUAAGAACAUAGCAAAGAGAGGAACACUUUUAGUUCUAACCCACUAAAGUUGAAAUAUAUAUAUAUAUAAACUAACCACAAAAUCAAUACAAGGAAACUGUUUGAUCAAUAAGUCAAUAACCCAAUCAAACAAAGAAAAGCCAAGGGGUAACAUAUGAAUCACUGAACAUAUAGAGCACGUUUUACAUGCCAAUAAACCGAAUAAUGUACCUGAAACUCUUCGUUCAACAAACCCAUUAAACCCAAUAAUGAUUGAGACCAUGGAAAACGAGUGAGACUCUUUGUUCAACAAAACAAGCAAACAGCAUAUAGAAUGUGACAUGAAUCAAUACAGGUAUAAGCAAACAAAAGUGAGACCCAUUUGUAAACACACUGCAAAAUGAAUUCAAUGAAAGUCAUUAAACAAACCAACCAUUCAAUGAACUACUGCAAAUAAAUAGCCGUGCUGGUUUAAUAAUCUAAUGUAAAUGAAAAAGAGACCCAAUAUAGAUCAAUCAGCCAGGAAAUCAAAUUUCUUGUGCAAUUUACAGAUCAAACAACACAGAACCAAAAGGCAACAAUCGAAUCACUGCAAAUAAAGAGCACUGAAAGCCUAAUAUCCAAUUAAAAAAUUUGGGAUUUAGGGUUUAUGGCAAUCCCCUGAAAUUCUUUGAAGCCCUCAAACUAAUCAAACACAGAACUCAGAGAAAGUGAUCCUCACCCUAGUAAUCGCAGUUAUAUCACGCAGAGGGGUUCUUGGGUACCAAGAAGGCAACACACUGUUCGUCCUCCGUGCCCUUCUCCGGCUAGAACCUCCGACCGGCUGCGUAUUCUCUCUGGCGGGAGUCACCAUCCCAAACGCACUACGUUCACGCCCGAUUCCGGUACCCGGAGUCCUCAAACUGCUCGGUGCCACUCCACCGCCCGUCGCCCAAAUCCCUAGAGGCCGCUGAGUCACCGGAGUAACCGCAGCCGCCGCCCUAAGCCUCGUCGGCUCCGGACGCUCGUCCACAAGAAUCCUGACGCCGCCGCUCCGCCUCUGAGCGAAGGCCUCGGCGAUGUCGAACGGCCUCACCAAUCGGAAUCGCGACUCAGCCGGCAUGAUGAUCGAUCUGAAAACGGCAAAUUAAACCAAGAUUAGUACUCAAAUUUCAAAGAAACGAAAACUCCCAGUCAAAACUAGGGUUGACUCAAACCGCCGGAGACGAAACCGUCACCGGAAAAUAGAAAACUCAACGGCGAGGCAGAUCGAUCUGAGAGAAGAAGAAGAAGCAAAGAUCGAAAGGCUUAAUUUACCUGAAUCAGGGUUAAUCUAGGGUUUCCGACGGCUGUGUGUGGGUCUCUUCUUUAAGCUCUGAGAGAGCAGAGAGGCUUUUGGGAUUGGAUUUGAGGUGAAGGCGAAUUUUCAAAUUGGACGAAAUGAGCGGUAUUAUUGACCUCGAUUUCCCAAAUCCCAAAAUUUUGGCACGUGUAAUCGACCUCUUUCGAUUUGUGCAUUCAAAUUUCGUUACGAGCGGGAAUCAAAUCCCCACCGUCCAUCUGUCGUAAUGAUCUGAAAUGACGGUGUAAGAUACACUAGACUGUUAACCACGGUUAGGUUAGUUAACUACGGGGUGAUGUAAAUAGCCUUUGCACGUGGUAAUCUCACAGCCGAGUUUUGUUACGCCACGUGGGUGGGAGUGUGGACGCAACAAGGAUAUGAGGUGAAAUGACUGAACUAGCCUUGGGUUGGUUAUACGCUUGGCUGGGACGAGUCUGGGGAAGACGGUGGUUAUUGAUUGAUGGCUUCGCAGAUUCUGGCGGCGGCGACAGGGAGGACGGCGAUGGCGGCGAGGAGGCAAGCGGUGAACUUGACGGAGGCGGCGGCUUCUAGAAUACGGCAGCUGCUGGAGCAGCGGCAGCGGUCGUAUCUGAAGCUCGGGGUUAAGGCGCGUGGCUGCAACGGCUUGUCGUAUACUCUCAAUUACGCCGGUGAGUGCUUGCCGGAGAGUUUUUCCGUGCUCGGAUUUUGGUUUUGAUUGUUGCGAUGUUGAUAGUUUUGUUGAUUCGUGUGUUGAUGUGUAGAUGAUAAAGGAAAGUUUGACGAGUUGGUUGAAGAUAAAGGCGUCAAGAUAUUGAUCGAUCCAAAGGCUCUGAUGCAUGUGAUUGGCACCAAGAUGGAUUUUGUGGAUGACAAGCUCAGGUUAGCCUCGUUUUGCAAUUCGUUUGGGGUUAAUUGAAAUUUAGGGUAACUUAGGUUCAUUUAUUCUUCAGAACUGAGAAAUUGUGCUUUGAUUUGGUUUAGUUGAUAUAUGCUUAGUUUCAUUAUAGAGAAAGCUAGCUAGGUUGGAGACGAAUCGAUGUUUUUCGUGUGUUUUAGCAAGCAUGUAAAUAUGCCAAGGAACUCUGUGAGUUUCUUCUUCAACCGAUUGUUUCCUGCUAUUGCCAUUAUUUGGACUGGAGAUUCCCUCCCGAGGCUAAUGCUGCUUGGUAGUGUACAACUGUAAUCAUAUAAAGCAACAUGAGUGUGCAAUGCUUCCCGUUGAAUAUACCUCUUCAUUCUCAACUAGUAAUGUUAGAGUUGCCCAUCUUUUUCACCUCUGCCAUCAUGACUGUCUCCACCGUCAGUUUAUUAAGUUAACUAUGGGAUCAUCAUCAGCUCCAUUACUGGCACCAGUAGUUUAUUAUAAUGGAAUCUGAGGAUCAAUAAUAACUAAGAAACUAUGUGCUUUUAUUGGUUGGUUUGUGUGUCUGGGAAGAUAACACAGGAUGGAAACUUGGAUGAUUAGGACAUAGAAUUUUACUCACUGAAUUGUUAAUUGGCGUUUAAGUCACCUGAUAUACAUGCGUAUGCGAAUAUAGAUCUAACAUGAUCACCUUGUGUACAUCUCUGAUAUACAUGCAUAUUUUAGGAGAGGCAAUGCGGCAUAUGCAUAACAAACCUUCAAGAAAGAUGGACUUUAGUAGUUAUUAUGAUGGUUAUCACCUUGUGUACAUCUCUGAUAUACAUGCAUAUUUUAGGAGAGGCAAUGCGGCAUAUGCAUAACAAACCUUCAAGAAAGAUGGACUUUAGUAGUUAUUAUGAUUGGUUUUUUUUUUUUUUUGAAAGGGUUAUUAUGAUGGUUUGGUUUAGAUCACAUAAAUUAGUACAUGUAAUUGGGACAUUGACUAGUCUGAGUUAAAGGGGAGAUAAACUGAUUCCUUGUUCAUUUGAUGAACGUUUUUUAUUUGUAACUGCUAUUUUCAUUGCUUAAUGAGGGGUUUGCUCUGGUUCAGAUUGAAGUUGAUGAAUGUAACUGUUGGCUCCAGUUAUGUUUUCCCUUCCUCAUCUACUCACACUUCAGUUUAUGUUUUGGCAGGUCUGAGUUUAUAUUUAUCAAUCCCAACUCAAAAGGACAAUGUGGCUGUGGUGAAUCUUUCAUGACAACCGGUAGUACUGGAGCUACUAAGAACAGCAACUCCUAAGCAAUCAUGGCCAACUUGCGAUGAGACAAGACUUUGACUAACAUAUUUGUCCUGGCAGUGUCGUGUGAUAUAGCAAUGACCGCUGAGAUGGUUCUCAAGUUCAUCUUCUUUGUAAAGCUGAUUCCGGAUUUCUUAACAUGUGGUAUACCUGUAGUGUUUGUGCUUAUUGAAUUGUAUGAACUUUUGUAAUGGUACACACGUAAGAGCUGCCAAAUGUUGGAGGGGGGCAGUAUAAAGAAAUUGUCAUGGGAAUCUAUAAACCUCUACUAAUCUCUUUAAGUGCUUCAGGACAAUAUGCUUCCAGGCUUGGUUGUAUUCAGUCUGUGGAAGUCAUGUUUAUGCUCUCUUUAUUGAAGCAGAAAUCUUGUGAGAAAGAUGAACAUGCCCUAGUAUUUUAAACCACUUAAAUGCAGUGGUAUGCUCACUUCUUUCAUUCUUAGUUCAUUUCUCAUGAGACAUCGUUACAUACUUGGACUUUGUCUUUCAUACAGAGGAUGAAAUUAUAACCUAUGGUUUGUUGUAGAUCGACAGCAAGGACUUGCGUCAGUAAUGCAAUAUAGUAUGUACAAUCGAUCUUUGUGUGAUUGGCUUUGCCUCUUGCAGCGUGGUUUGCGCAGUCAGAAGGGAUCCAACUUUGAAGUUUGGUAUGGUGAUACCUGUGGUUCUGACCUUCAGAUAAGAAAGAUGUGUGUAAAAAUCGAAUAUCAAACUCAGUUCUCUAGUUCAUCUAUCCAUGUCUUUCUAUGUUCCUUGUGUUCCGAUAUCAACUUUUUAUUCUUUGUCAUGUUCUUGGAUCCAUCUCUAACUCAACUCAUAAUGCAGUGAUGACCAAUAAAUCAAGGUAGAGCAGUAUAAUGAUAUAUAACCCUGUAGGAGAAAAGUGAAUAUAACCGUGUCAUGUUCUUGAGAUCGUGUCACACACACUGUCACGAUAAGCGUUUAUAUGCAACUAUCUCUAGCUCGUUAUAAUAGAUACCAGUCAUGUAUGUUUACCUUGAAACUUUGCUCAGUUCGCUUUGUUUACACCCUUAAGAAAAAUAAAUAAAAAAAUCACGCUAAAAGAUGAAGCUAAAAAACUCAGUAUCUAAACAACACCGAAAAGCAAAUUUGAAAACCAAAGUAAUUUUAUUAAUACAAAAUUGUGAAAUGUGAUGCCCAUGUACUAUCAACUCAAUUUAUGUCAUUCAUAUCAAACAAUACUAUAUGAUGGAUAUCAAUCACUUCUUUUCGGUAUUAAAUUUAAAUUUACAUAGUCCGUAAUGUGAUGUAAACUCGAUUUGUAUUUAUUGUAAUCAAAAAAUAGAUGAACCAAUCUGCUAAGAACCAAUCAAAAACUAGUAAUUUGUUAACCUAACUGAUAGAAUACAAAUUUAAAAGAAGGAAGAACCGCAUGAAAUUUUUUAAAUACAUUAUAAAUGCUGAAAAUUGUUAUUUCUUUCCUUGUAGCUAAAAAGGAAAUUCCCCACAGACCAAUAUGUCAAUUGUUAAGAAUAAGUAGGGGGUCUUCACACGCGAGCAAGACUCUCUACCAUUUUAUUCUCUCUCAUUUUUUUUCCCCUAAUUCUCCUUUCAUUCUUCGUUUUCUCUCACCCAUUCAAAUUCUACAUUUCGAUCGAUUUCACACCUUGAAAGAUUUCCAAUUCCAAUCAUGGUCGUCAGGUAAAACCAUCCCCGAUUCUCACUUUGCUCUCAUCUGUUCUCGUUUUCAUUACGAUUUUAAUCUCUGUGGUUAGGUUAUUGCGUGUCAUUCAAUUUGUGGGAAUGGGCUAUCUAGAUUGGUAUUGAUCCUUUCAAGAGUUUUGAAUUUUUUGAACUUGUAUUGUAUGCAAUCCCCAAAUUACUACAGUUGUAGGAAUCAACUAGAUGAUUCUCACUAAUAGUAGUGAAACUCACUCAUUUGGAAUUGAAAGUUUAAAACUUUUAUCUGGGUUUUUGAGUUUUGAUAUGCUAGACACGGCAGAUUGGUAUUUUGCAUUGAUAAAUUUUGAUUUUGCUACUUUUUUAUGACACCCAGAUGAUAGGCUUUGCAAAUAUCUGUGUUCUAAGAUGGGUUCUUGAUUUGAUGGGUGUUAUUGAGCUUGGAAACUACUAGCUAUCCUAGAUUUUUGUUUGGUGAUUCAUUUGUUGGGGAAUGGUUCGUAUGGAGCACCUUCCGGUGGAGGUCAUAGGUAACAUACUGUCGCGGCUUAGAGCUGCCCGGGAUGUGGUGAUUGCAUCUGCGACGUGCAAGAAAUGGAGAGAGGCUUGGCGAAACCACCUCCACACUCUAUCUUUCAAUUCCAACGAUUGGCCUGUCUAUCAUGAUCUCACGACAAGUAGGUUGGAGAUUCUGAUAACCCAGACCAUAUUCCAAACGACUGGUUUGCAGUGUUUAUCGAUUUUUAUGGAUGAUGUUGAUGAGUUCUCAGCUGCCCCAGUGAUUGCUUGGCUCAUGUAUACUCGGGACACCUUGCGGCAAUUGCAUUAUAAUGUGCGGACAACACCAAAUGUUAAUAUCAUUGAGAAAUGUAGUCGUCAGAAGCUUGAAGUGUUGGCCUUGGCUCAUAAUUCUGUAACAGGUGUUGAACCAAGUUAUCAGAAGUUUCUGUGCUUGAAGUCACUUUCCUUGAGUUAUGUCUGCAUCUCAGCUUUGGAUUUGAGCCUUUUACUCACUGCAUGUCCAAGACUUACCAGUUUGUCUCUUAUUAAUCCUGAUAUAGCCAUGUCAGAUGCACAGGCAACAAUGGAACUUACCAGUGCCUCAUUGAAAGAUAUAUAUGUUGAAGCAGUCAGUUUAGAUAAGUUCAUAUUGGAGGCGGAUACCCUUGAGAAUCUGCACUUGAAAGAUUGUACAUUGGAGCUUUUUGAGCUUCUUGGUAAGGGGUCAUUGAAGGUUUUGAAGAUUGAUGAUGUUAGUGUGCUCCAUCUCGAUAUUGGUGAAAACACAGAGAAUCUUCAGAUUGUGGAUGUCAGCAGCUUCACAAUCAUGUGGCCAAAGUUCUAUAACAUGAUCUCUAAGUCAUCAAACUUAAAGAGGCUUCGACUAUGGGGUGUAGUGUUUGAUGAUGAGGAUGAGGUUGUGGAUUUGGAGAAUGUUUCUGUUUGCUUCCCACUGUUGAGCCACCUAUCCUUGAGUUAUGAUUUAAGAGAUGUUUGUGGCUUGCAGGGGACAUCUCGUUUGGAGAAUGUGGUUGUUUUAGAACUUGGAUGGACUAUAAUCAGUGAGCUCUUCUCUGAAUGGGUAGCAGGACUUAUAGAGAGAUGCCCUAAAUUGAGAAAGUUGGUCAUCUAUGGGGUUGUUUCAGAAGCCAAAUCCCAGGAAGAGUGCCAAACUUUGGCAAACUUCACCUCUGCCAUUGUCCGGCUGAUGAGAAAAUAUAUGCAUGUGGAGAUUCAGUUUGAAUAUGAAUAGAAGUCCUGGUCUUCCAUUUGGCUUUCUGGUUUUCGUUCAGCAUGAUCUGUACAACAAGGUACAUGGCACGUUAUGAUGAUUCAUCACUCUCAUAUUAAGGGUGCCUCCUAUUUACUAAAAUGCUGAGCAGAUGUAACCUUAAAGAUUGUUUAAAAAAUAGGCUUGUACGUGUUUCAGAAUAUUCAAAGGGGAUUUUCAAUGAUUGUUUUCUGCUAGUUUUUGUUUGUACUUGUUUCAGAAAUGGGAUUUUCAUAUUGGAGAUUGUUUUCUACUUUCUGUGCUUUGUUUUGAAUUUAGUAGUCUAUGUCUUUCUAUAAUAUUUCACCAUGUCUUUAUUUUGUAGUGCAGUUAGUUAUGGAUAAUUCGGGUUGAAGCCGUUUAUGGCACUCUAUAGUCUAUAUGGCUACCUUCUUGAAUAUGGGUUGGAGGGUGUAGUGUGCUAUUAUCACCUGAUUACUGAGCAGGUGAAGUCUUUGCUUUCACAAUUCAAUGGAAAAAGUCUGAGCGUGUUUCCUGAAAAUUGAAAUUGAUGGUAACAUGUUCUUUAGUUAGUUCUGUGCACAGGAAGUUAAACUGAACCAAGAUUCGUGAGUAAACUGGGGUACAAUAAGUCAUAACAUGAACACAUUAAACAAUAUGCUCAAAUUUUGAGGGUCACUCUCAACAUAUGGAGGCUUUCUUUUUCUAUGCAUCUUUUAACCUCUAAAUGUGAAGUAGAUGCUUAAAUAUACAUUGCUAGGGAAUGCUAGCUAUAAGUUUAUUACAGUAUAGAUAAACAGGUUUCUGCAGAAAAACUCGUACCCUGUGCAUUUGAGUUGUAAAACGUUGCUGAUCGGAGAAGAAAAAAAACAGAGUUGUUUGCUCUUGAAAGUUUUGGUGUUUUUUGCAUUAAAUUAGAUUCAAUGAAUUGUUUGAAAGAAUAUGCAUUUCUUUGGUAAUGCAUUCAGCCGUACUUUUGAGUUUGCUCGGUGACUUUGGUUGAUCAAACUACUGGCAUGAAUUCAGACGUGUAUCUUUGUCUCUGUUGCCUUUGGUUUUCAAUCCAUUGGAACAGAUCAUCCUCUGACCUUGGCUUAUGUUUCUUUGGUGAGUCUUUUCGUGCUUGUUUCCAGCUUGCAUCCCUUUGUGUUUAACCAAGAUUUUUUUUUUAUGAAGGAAGAUAUUGUCUGGAUGAAUAGCCAAAUAGGAAAAUACAAUUUCAGGAGCUUUGCUUUUGUAUUAUAAAGUGUUUAUAUUAUGAAUGCAACACUAACAGGUAUAAAAAGUUGACUUUUACUGGAUUUGAGUGUAAUUAUCUGGUUUUAGGCUGAGUUUUGAUUUCCUGAAAUAUAGUCUUGGUUAGACAACAGGAUCUGACAUGAUAUAUACAUUUCCGCACUUGGUAGUUUUGAAACGUCCAGAAAACUUUUCAUUAAAAUUCGAAGGGACCUUCAGCUUGCAGUUGAUCUUGCUGCCUGACUGCUGGUAAUACCUUGUCUUGAAGAUGUCAUACCCAACCUUUACUCGAAGAGCAAGCAGCACAUCAAUACUGUAAAAACCAGUAUCGGUCUCUGCCUUCAAUUGGGAAAGCUCUGUGUCACCAAACUGUACCAAUUGCUGACCUUCAAGUACCACAUGAUUCAAAAUGGUUGUGUUCUUGUGGCCUUGGUGAAAGGGUGUGGAAUCCAAAGUACGCAUGGCAAACCUCUUUUUUCCAUAGUUAGCAAUGACUUGGAUGUCAUUGUAGUAUAUGUCCACCUUGUUGUUUUGGUUUCUAAUGGUAAUGUUGAGCUCAAGGUUGUAGUGGAGAGUUUUGUUGGUUUUGGCGAAGUCGAAUUGGGUUAUAGAGGCAUUAGUAAUACUGAACUUGGGCUCUUCAGGAAGGAAAAUGGACCACACUACAAAGAAGACUAGGGUGAAGCAGAGGAUGGUGUUGCAGAAUAGGAAGAAGCUGCAGUCGAUGCACGCACGCCUUCCAGUCAUGGCUGAGAACGAAGUCUACAAAAUGCGAAGGUAUAUAAUGCAGGGUAGGUUUUGGCUCCUUCUAUUUGAAUUAGUUUAAUAGAAAGAAUGUUGAGCAACAUGAUUGAUAGAAUUUAUAUUCAUAUUCCAUCGAGUUUGGCAAUUAGCAAUUGGUAGAGUAUGGCCGUGCCAAAUUCAACCAUAUGGGGAACUUCCAAAGUUCUUUUUUGGGUUAGGUGGAACUUCCAAAGACCUUCUUUCAGGAUUGAUUGGCCGUUUAAAGUUACAGUACAGAGUUGGGGAUGCUAUGUCGUUCCUUAUGAGCUCAGAUUCAGAUUCGGACUUAUUCUGAUCAACCAUUUCUGUCAAUUAUGUCGCUAACUUUUUCUUUGGGAUUUCUAACCCCGUCAACAUAACCUGUAGAUAGAAUGGUUAUUCCUGAUAGUUCGCAGUUUUUGUAUUACUGUUCUUUGCCCUUUAUUUGAACUUUUCACAACUUGAGUUUUUCGAGUUUGCAGCAGCAGAGGUUGCUGUUUCAUAUAUUAUGAUUAGAGAAACUUAAGAGGAAGCAUUCUUGUCUAUAGGGUUUUGAGAAGGAGCAAGGAAUUCUGCAUAUUCUGACCAACGUGAUUAAGUUUGCUUCAAAGGAGUGUUUAGAACAGCAAGAUUGUUUGACAAUGUGCUAUUGAGAUUUAUAUACAUUCUGCGAUACUGCAUCUAUCCAGUCAAAUCUGACAGAAGUUUUGACAAUUUGCUGAAUAUAUACUAUUAUCCAGCAACUUCCUUAUUGGUUUAAACACGUAAAGUUGCAAAAAUAUAGGCACAUGUACAAUGUGGUUACCAAGAAAAAGCGAGACAGAGUUCGCUCGCAGCUUCAGGUCUGCGGUGAUAUAGCAUGUCUGCCUUGGUAGUCUUUGGUUGUGCGGUAUACGAAUUAUCUUCAUGGUUGUGUAAUGCUGGCUAGCCUGUACAUCGAGGGAAUAGCAUUUUGGCAGAAAUGGCCGUGACAAAAAGGUCCUUGUCAAAGCUGAAUUGAGGAGGAACUUCCAAAGUUAUUGAAGAAUGUGGUUCCUCGUAGUUUUCGACUCGUUGACUUGUGAGAGAAGCAUCGAUAAUUCUCAAGUGGAGGGUGAACGGUAUUCAUCUCUGAGGUUGUAUCGGCGUACCUGACUAGCAAUGGAUUGAACUGUGAUGGUAAAUUUGGGUACUUGGGUAUAUGGAAAGAUGAGCUAGAAGCAGAGUUUGCAGCAGCAGCAGCUGCCGUGAUUGCAUUUUAUCAUAUGCAUGAUCUAACCAUAGUUUACGUACAUAACUGAUAUUUGCUUGAAGUAAAUUUGCUGAACACUUCUGAAUUUGCUGAACACUUUUAACUAAGGAACUGUUUAUUACUAAUUAACCACGCACAGCUGCAAAAAUAUAGAUACAAAUAAGCAACACUUGGAUGGUCUGGUUGUGAAGGAAAAACUCGACUGACAUAGCCCACUGCUUCAGGGUCUGCAAUGAUAUAUCAUUUCUGCACUUGGUAGUCUUGAAAGUGAAGCGGUUUGCAGAUGCUUCACUAAACUGCAAAGGAACCUUCAGCUUGCAGUCGAUCUGGUACGAUGGGUUGGAAUACUUUGUGUUGAAAUAGCCGAAUAAUACCAUAUUAACAUAAAGCUUCAAGUCAAUACUGUAAAUGCCAGCAAUAGUCUCCGAGUUAAACUGGGAAAUGUCUUGUUCUUCAAACACCACAGACUUGCUCCCUUUAAGAGUUACGUUCUGCGAAAUGGUUCUGUUCCUGCCGCAGCAGUGAAGUGGUUCAUAAGGCAAAGUGACGAGAGAAAAUACUUUGUUUCUAUAGUUAGCUGCGACUUGUAUUUUAGUGUAAAAUAUGGCAGCCUUUCUGUUGGGGUUGAUGAUGGUCAUGUUGAGGGCAAGGUUGUAGUCGAGGGUUGCGUUUUGGUUGGUGAAACUGAAUUGGGUUAGAGAGGCAUCUGUGAUGAUGAAUUUGGGAUCUUUGGGAAUAAAGAUGAACCAGAGUAUGGGGUAGGAGAGUAAAAGGCAGAGUUGUAUCUGAAUUCCUCUCCACCACCACAUGGCUGGGAAAAAGAAUUGGUGCUAGAGAGAUGGAUUUGGCUGUGAUGUACAAAGUUUGGUUAUGUUGGCUUCUCUCCAUAAAAGAGAUGAACUAAGACUUGGGGAGUAGUAUUUGGCAGCCCAGACGAAAAGGUCGAUGUCAGGUUAAAUUAAAAAGAGUAAUGUGAGAAAUCUCCAGGUGUCAACUUCCAUAUAGUUUGUUUGAGGAGAGGAACUUCCAAAGUUAUUGCAAGGAAGUUUAGCCAAAGAAAAAAAAAGUUAUUGCAAGGAAGUAGUUUAUUAUUUUUUCUUUAUAUAUGGAAUAAAGUGAGAAACCUCUCAGAAAACUCCAAGUUCGAAAGAAACAAACGGACAACUUAUUGAACUCAACAACUUUACGUCUAAGAUAUUCCAUAGUUCUUUGCAAAAGAAAAAAUCGAAGACACCAAUGACGACCGCUUUGCAACGUGUUAGCCAUAGUUACGUAUAGAUUUGGUUUCAAUGUAUACGUCUGGGAACUAUAUACAUAUUGCUAAAGAUCUUGAUCAAAUAUUGAAUUGUCUGGUAAUUGGUAUAACACUAUUCAUGUUUUUAUGUCUAAUGGUUUUAAAGAUGAGCUAGCAGUGAAAUAACAAAGAUCGGUAUAACCAUUAAAAAAAUAACAACAGCAAUUGAUGAACAAAAAAUAACAACAGCAGAAAACUUAUAUGUUACUUCAGAUCAGGAAAACCAUUCGAGGACAAAUUAUUGCCCUGACUAGAUCUCUUCAAUGCCUCUUCACUAAACAUUGUGUAGCCUUGAAACCACGACUAGGAGAAGUAUUAUUAAAACCCGAUGGAACCUUCAACAUACACAUCCUUUGUGGUUUGUAAACGAUUCCUUUGAGAACCCAGCGACUUAUUCGAAAAGCAAACUGCACAUCAAUAUUGUAAAUGUCUGCAUCGGUCUCGAAGCUAGAGGGCUGCCCUUGAAGAACUGGAUACACAAUGGUUAUGUUUUUGGUUCCUUGGUCAAAGAGUGGCAAACUCAAAGUCACCAUAGCAACUCUCUGCUGCCUAAAUUUCGCUGUGACUUCGAUGCGUUUGUAGUGUAUACUGAAGGUUGAACUAGGGUUUCUGAUGGCAACAUCGAGGGCGAGGUUGUAGUAGAGAGUGUUGUUGUUGUUGCUGUUGAGGUUGAAUUGGUCAUAGACGCAUCGGUGACUGUUACUUCGAGCCUUGGAGAUCUAGAGAAGAUGACUAGGAAUGCUAUGACUCCGGCUAAUAGGGCAAUGACGGUAAAGGUAGCUAGAAUGGUGCUGCUUGUUAGCUUCUUUCCAUUCCAUGUCAUUGAGCAAGUCAUAGCCAAAGGAACAGGAAAAUACUUGCUACUGUAAACAGUUGUACAAGGAAAAAACAUGCAUGUACAAGAGGGAGAGCCAUAUACAAUCGUUACGCCUCCUAUUUAUAAUGGUAUAGCUUAACUGGGACGAUCUAUCCCAACGAGUUUUCUUAAUAAAACAUCUCCUAGCAGUGCUAACUGCUAAGGUGAAUCUUUAAGGUGAAUCAUUAUGGAUGGAACGAAUUAAAGGUGUGUUUACAGAAUAUGGGAAAGUAAAUCUACAUGAGAUCUUUAAAAGGCUAUAUAUCUAUGAAUAUAUAUGAAAAAGGUUGAGGUUUGGACAAAUUUGGUUUGUUCAUCAGUAAAUUUUAAGUUUUAUACUCGUCGAAUCGUCGAUCCUCUAGAAUAUUUCAAGUUUAAUUUUUGUGUUUUGUAAAAAAAUUUCAAGUUUAAUUUAUGUGUUUUGUUUUGCUUAGUACGUAGUAGGUGAAUCCACUUUCUUUCAAGAAAUUUUUGUGUUUGGAAUGUGAGUUUAUAUUACUUAAUGUAAAGGGUUGUAUGUGCUAUGUAAAGUAGAUAGGAUAAUUAUAAUUAAUAUAAUGAAAACCCUAUUCUCUCUAGCGUGUCUUCUCGCUUUGGCACUCUCGCCGCCUCCUCUUAAAGGUGUCGAAUUCAGCGGCUCCCAUCGGAAGCCAACCUCAGGCACAUCUGUCAUCCUACUGCUCCUCCCUAUUCAAUCCACUUACCACAUCCCUUUGCUUAGACAGUUAGACACGAUGGAGACGUCCUUAGGGCUGGGCAUCCAUCUUGGUUCUAGUGGCUGUUAGAUGAUAAGAUCAGAGUACUGCUAGAGGUGGGAGCGUUGAUCUCGCUGGUUACGCAAUGGUGGUUGCGAUCGUAGAUGUCGUCCGAUAGAGCAGCAGAUUGUCUGUGGCCUAGACUCGGAUGAUGAUACGACGUGGCAGAUCAUGGUUGGGAUUGCUAAUGGCGGGUCGACGGUGUUGGUUGCCAUGAUUCGACAAUGGUUGCCACUGCAAAGAAGAAGAGAUAUGAUCGGAGUUGAGAUCAACACUUUGGGUCGUUAAAAAAAAACACUUUGGGUCGUUCCUUCGGGCUCCACCAUGGCCCAAGCUUGGGUGUAUUUGGAUCUACUUUCUGCAAGCCUAUGGAUUUAGGAUCCAGGAAUCACUCAUCUAAAUUGUCAUGGAUCUAAGGUCUACCUAUAGCCCCACCGGCCGGAGUUUAACCUCCGUGCACAUUCCCCGACAAUGGAGAGUAGAAAAGGCUUUGGUCAAUGGAUCUUGGUGCUACAAAGACAUGCUACCCUAACAUCUUGGACAUUUGAAGACCGUGCAAUUGUUAUAUGUGUGACAAACUCUUUAUGGUGUUCUAAUAUUUUCGUACACCAAUUGAGGUCCGUAGGUGAAUUUAUUCGUUCGACUGUUUUGAGUCAUGUAACAUCUACUUGGUUAAGAAUGUCUUCUAGUAGAGUAGUACAUCAUCAUAUUCGAAAUAGGCUUGUCCUUGCUUGGCAUGUAUUCGUUCCAGCACAUAUAUAUGUUGGAUGCUCCUAUGUUCGACCUUUGUCGAUCUUAUGAAUAAAGUUUUCCUUAUAUUCAAAAAAAAUAAAAGUAGAUAGGAUAAUAAGAAAUAUUGAAACUUUGGAAGACAUGCAUGCAUCAACACAAAAUUAAGUUGCAACCAUCAAAGACUUAGGCACAUAGCCAACCUCUCUCUCUCUCNNNNNNNNNNNNNNNNNNNNCUCUCUCUCUCUCUCUCUCUCCUCUCUCUCUCUCUCUCUCUCUCUCUCUCUCUCUCUCUCUCUCUCUCUCUCUCUCUCUCUCUCUCUCUCUCUCUCUCUCCGUUGACUACUCUCAACUGGUAAAUGCUUCCAUAUAUUCCUGAAUGAGUAAUUUUAUUGGUACAAGAGAAGUUCAACGUACAUAGGCACAUAGCCAAGUUCCCUGUAUAUAUAUAUAGUUGGAUGUUCAGAUGUCAUAUGUUUUCUUAAUUAUUUUAAAACAUAAAAAGAGCCAUAUAAACUCGUGAGCACUUUGCAGUCGAUGUAGGAGAGGCAUAACCAACCGGCCGAAGUAAAUUAAUCUGAAUCAGGAUCUGUAAAGAAGUAAACAUUUUCACACCUUGUGGCCUUGAAACCACUGGCAAUUGAUGUUUCAUUAAAACUCAAAGGAACAUUCAGCUUGCAGUCAAUCUUCCGAUACGGUUGGUAAUUGCGCGACGUGAACUUGCCGUACCUGGCUUUUAUCCGAAGAGCAAGCUGCACCUUUAUACUGUAAAUCCCAGAAGCAGUCUCCUCGGUAAACUGGGACACCUCGCGUUUUCCAAACUUCACCGGCUGCGAUCCUUGAACAACCACUUGAUGCAAUUCGGUGGUGUUUUUGUGGCCUUGGUAGAACGGCAAAGUAUUCAAAGUCACGAGAGCAAACCUCUUCUUUCGAUAGUCACCGAUUACCUGAAUGCGGCGAUAAUAUAUGCCAACCCUCUUGUUAGGGUUUCUGAUGGUCAUGUUGAGUGUGAGGUUGUAGUCGAGGGUGUUGUUGGAGCUGUUGAAGUUGAAUUGGGUUAGUGUAGCAUUGGUGAUUGUGAACUUUGGUUCUUGAGGAAGGAAGAUGAACCCGAAUAUCAUGAAGGAAAGGCUGAAGCAAAGGAUGAGGUUGUAAUAUAUCCAGAAGCAGCAGGUAAAGCGGCAACCAGACAUGAUUGAUGGAUGCUAUGGACAAGUUUAACUGAUCGAUGAAUAGUGAUGAGGAUUCUAGAGGUGUAUAUAUAUAGUGAUGAAACGAUAAUCGUGAGCCUGAUAGGAAAUAAUGUUGAUGCCAAGAAUUCGAAGUUCAAAGUCAGCUAGGUAGGAAGAGUGUUCUAUGAGAGAUGUUAAGAUAUAAAUCCCAAAUUGGGAAUAUGGGACCUUGCUUGUGGGUUAAUAAAGGUUUGGGUCUCUCCACCCAUUGCCAAUUGGUUUUGGAUGUGAACCCUAGACUACUUUAUUAUGGUAUCAGAGCGAGUUACCCACGUCCACGUGUAAAGCCCAAUGACCAAACAAACUCCAUGUCACCCCAAAUGUUGUCCAUGUGCUAGGUUUGAAAAUUUGCCACACGUGCGGGGGCGUUUUGAGAUAUAAAUCACACAUUGGGAAUAUGGGACAUUGCAUGUGGGUUAAUAAGGGUUUGGGUCUCUCCACCCAUUACCAAUUGAUUUUGGAUCUAAACCUUAGACUACUUUAUCAAGAGAUCUCUAAGAGAAAUUGCAUAGUUGUUGAUGGACGCAGUUCCUGGUAGCUUCCAAACAUCUGACUUGUUAAUCAAUGUUGACAAAUUAUACUAUUCUUCAUUUAUAAACUAAGGGUAUAAUAUAUAUCUGACUGCGUCAGGAAACUUGGAGAUGGAAAUGCUUUGGGGUUUUCGUGUUUACGGCCGUAUGAAUGAUCAGGCCUGCUCACCUGCGGACCAAUUUUUAAGGGACAAAAAGGGAUGAAACUGUGAUGACCAGUAGAUCUUAAGUGAGUUGAUCUAAUGGACAGCGUACCAAAUCCAUUAAAGCAAGUAUGCUGCUAUUCUUUACCUAAUCUUGUCUCCGUCUUCUUCCUCCUCCUCCAUCUCAUCUCAUACUCAUAUGCUACUAAAGUAGCUAUAGCUAGCUAACUAUGCCAUGGACCAAGUCACCUGAUGAACACCUUCAUCUUGAUCAAGUCCAAAGCAUUCCACACUGCAUCAGACCCAAUUAUAACCAACAACAAACUAAUAUCUAACCCAAUUACCGAAUGUAGUACCUUUUCUUUGUGAAGCUCCUCAAGGUGAGACUUAAGCUCUCCCAACCUCUUCAAAGUCAAAUCCGUCUCAUCCACUCCGGCAUACUCACCGGCAUUCCCAGCCACACCGUUGCCGGCUAUCUCCGACGAGAUCCUGGCAAUCUGCGACUGAAUGACCGAAAAGUCCUUGACCCUCUCUUGCUUCUUCAAGCUCAAUUCCUCCAAAACAGGCUUGACAGCAGAAAUCUGGUCCCGGAGAGUCCCUCUUGCCCGGGGAAAGGAAGUGGCUUCGCCGAGAGCGGAGGCGAUGGCGGUGAUUUGAGCUUGGCCGUCGGCAAGGGACCUGUGCAACUCGGCCCUGUACUUUCUGGUCAUCUCGACCUUCUUGCGGUAGAUGUCGUGGCACUCUUGCUCGAGCUGGAGAAGCAUGGUGUCACUCUCACUCAAUCAUAUGGACAACGCCAUGUGAUUAAGAAGAGACCCAGCGCACCAAUAUGAUUGAGAAGAUAUCCAUGGCAUAGUUAGCUAGCUAUAGCUACUUUACUAGCAUAUGAGUAUGAGAUGAGAUAGAUGAGGAGGAAGAAGAUAUGGAUACUUUACUGGGUUUUGAUCGAUUUGGUAUGAGAUGAGAUGGAGGAGGAGGAAGAAGACGGAGACAAAAUUGGGUAAAGAAUAGCAGGAUACUUUCUUUAAUUGAUUUGGUACGCUGUCUAUUGAAUCAACUCACUUAAGAUCUAACGGUCAUCACAAUUUUAUCCUUUUUUGUCCCUCGUACUCCCUGUACUGGAACUCAGCAGUACUCCCUCGCCAACGCCACUCGUACUCCCUGAUGUCAGAAGCCAACGCCACUCGUACUCCCUGUACUGGAACUCAGCAGGGGUACCAGAACGUGCGUUCCCGUUCCUGACUCCCAGGAGGAUAUUGUAAGUCAUUUUACGUUUUUAAAUUUUAAAUUUUAAAUUUAUAUAUAUGUGAAAAUGUUAAUUAAUUAUUUUUUUCCUAUCCAAUUAGGCGAAGGUGAGGGAGGCUAGUGACGAGGUGAUGAGUGCUAUAGUGAGGGAGACAUGGCCGGACACGCAGGAGGAAGAGAUGUCCGAAGCCAUGUCCCGGAUCGACACUUCGGAUCCGACGAUUGGGGCGAGGAUCAUGGGCACAGCCUUCCCACCGAGAGCAAACAACUUCUACUGCCGGGGUCUAGGAAAGAAAGGCGAGGGGGUCCUGAAGACCACUCCAGGAUUUCAAAGAAAGGCAGCAUCGACCAGCAGCAGGACCACGUCCACGAUCACCAGGACGACUCAGCUAGAGUCGGAAGUUCAGAGACUACGAGAACAGCAAGCUGCUCAGGAAGCCUAUAAUGUCUCGCAGGCGGCCUAUAAUGCCUCGCAGGCGGCCUAUAAUGCCUCGCAGGCAGCCUAUAAUGCUGCGCAGGCAGCCUAUGUUGCCGAGAUACAUGCCAUCCAGCAGGCCCAGCAGCAGCAGAUGUUCCAGUACAUGCAGGACUUUACAGCUGCCCAGCUUCAGGGACUUCCGCCUCCGCCCAUGCCUCCGCCCACUGCCGCUACCCCAGCCGCCGCAACCUCCGCCGCAACCUCCGCAGCAACCUCCGCAGCAACCCCCAGAAGCGGAUAUUAAUUUAGACGAUUUAGAUUUUUAUGUAGUUGAUGAAUUAUAUACUUUUAUGUGCUUGUUGGUUAUAUGGAAUAUGGAAUUGUUUUUGGUAUAUUUUGCAGCUUGCUUGGGAAUGGUAAUUCAGAAAUUCGGGGUUUUUUUUUUUUACUGGAAAGGA
rnacentral:lncRNA from 1 species